UAGAUUAUGAUUUGCGUCGCGGCCACGAUACCGCGAUAAGUUCCUUCUAUAGUUUGCUGGGAUUUUUGGGUCCUUCCAGCUCGAGUUUUUGGUCGCGAUGCUGAUGACGUGUCCGGUGAUUCAGAGGUAUAGUAAUAAAUAAUUUGGCAAAACUCACGGAUGCUAGGCGCUAGGCACUUGUACCGUUGUACGGUCCUUGCAAGCUUGUAAUGCUGAUUAAUUAUGUAUGAUGGCAUCUCCAAUUAGCCUUUUGAGUGCUAUAUCUCAAAGUUUCUUUUUUGGUCAAGAGGUAUUAUUAUUUCUGGACUUUGAUUGUUCGGUUACCGGAGCUCGGCAGCGGCAGCUGUGUGUGUUUUCCCAUGAGCAAUGCCCGGAGAUUAUGGAAUGCGUCGGGGCCUCUAAAAUGUACUUCGAAGUUUUUCUCGGCUCACAAUUUUUUUUCCGCGGCUCUGGGUCAAUGGCAAGCUCAGCACAAGGGAGAACUUAUGUGAAGGAAAAACCAGCGGGAUUUCUGAUAGCAACUGCUGUGCCCUCAGUGUUUAAAGCAUCUCCAGACUCUUGCGAUUGCAUCUUCUACCCUGCUGGGUGCUGCAAGUUCUUACCAGUCAUUCUGGCUCUCACAGCUGCAGCAGGUGAUAUGAGUACUAUACAAAUAAUUUGAAUCCAAAAUCAACUUGCACUGCAAAUGUUUUCCUAGUGGAGUCCGGAGAUCUAGCAAAUGCUAACCUGAUAGAAAUGAGUAGUUCAAACCACAGACUGCAGUUAAAUGGGCAAAUUUGUCUUUGCCAAAGGGAGUUUACAUCAGCUCUUAACGCUGCUGAAUAUAGGGCGGAAUAGGACGGUUGGCUGUUGUAGGAGCCCCAAGGAUAGGAAAAGGUCUGACGGUCGCUCAGCACGCCAGUGAGAGCAACCGUGGACUGACAGGAAAAUAUCUGAUAUGAAAAGUUCUUCCAUAAGGAACAUCGUUACUUUGCCCGAAUGAGCUCUCCAUUCAACAUUUCCAAGUUUUUAAGAAAGUGAAUAUCACCCGGCAGACGCUUAAAACGAGGAGCUACCAUGACAACUACUUCCUCCGUUCCCAAAUAUAAAUCUUUCUAGAGAUUCCAACAAGUGACUACAUACUGAGCAAAAUGAGUGAAUCUAUACUUCAAAAUAUGUCUACAUAUAUCCGUAUAUUGUAGUCCAUUUGAAAUGGCUAAAAAGACUUAUAUUUAGGAACGGAGGGAAUACUUCACAUGUUAACAAUGUUACUACAUGGGGAUCCAUAUUCUUGCUCAACCACAUGCAAGCCGCAAUGGCGACAAAAAAGAAAUAAAUCUGGUCUAGCUAAGCUACUGAGCCAACCAACAGGAUCCAUGACGACAAGUUUCAGUACUAACAUCAGGGAGGACAUACAACAGCUGAUGAGUUCCCAAGAGCUACAUUGUUUCAGCGUUAUCAAGCACCAUCCCGAGCAGAGGAGUUUUGAUCAGUGAUUCUUCAGUUCAACCGGCGGAUCAGAUCAGUGGGCUUGGAAAGCACGAAUACCAUCAGCAGCAACAACUGGCGUAGAGACGAGAGCUGUAGAGUCCUGCAAAAUGGCAAGGCAUGUGUUAGGCUGCAGCAUUAGGCUUACAGUUUUGGUUAAUCCUUCUGGAGUCGCUAGUUUCAGAAAUCUGGUAGCAAUCUGAUAGGAAAUAUACCCCGUGAUUUAAAUAGCAGCAGAUAAAUAACAUGCUGGCAACAGAGUCGCAAAAGCUAUAUCAUUUCUAUAACAACCUCAACCUCGAGCCUUUUGUGAGCGCACUAUCCGUUGAUCACAUAAGUGCAGACCCAUCACGCAAUUUACCAUUACAUAUGCAUCAUGUGUUUGAGUGAUGAACAAUUCAGAGCAUGUCAUUUCAGCAUUUAACAAAGCUACAAGCCACAUUGCCUUCAGGUCAGAAACAAAGAAUGAACAGAUAAUUUUCUGUCAGAUAGGUAGCAAAAAAUGAAUCCUGGGGGAUCCCAAAAGCUAGUAGCUGGAGUAAAUGCGGCGAUUGGCUAAAUGUACAAAGGUAUAAUGCGAGGUAGGUACCUUUGGCAGUAAAGCCAUCUCCCCGUUCUCGAAGGAUGAUAAAACAGCACCAUGACUUUUAAGCCAAUCAACACUUCCGUCUACUGCAGCAAAACCUAAGAUUUUGGAUACGUAUUUAACAGGUAUCUUGGUUGCGUAGGCCUUUGCCAUACAUUUUAAACCUUCAAAUCUCAUCUUCUCAAAGCAGAGACCUACAAAAUCGUAAGCAUGUUCACCAUUAACUACAAUUAGCAUAAAUGGUAACCAACGGUUGUUAUCAACAUAGUCUAAUAACCACAUAUCUGAUGACCAUUUGCAUAAGAAAGUCUAGGAAAGAUUUAACUUACACAUCAGGUAGCCAUUGAGGUUUGGAGCCACCUUGUAGAGUUUGAAAAAUGAUGCAUAGUUUCCUGUCUGUAUACUGUGAGCCACUUCUUUCGCAUGCUUCACAGCUUCUUGCUGUUUCAGGUCGCUUGACAGCCUAGGAAACAAAAGGAACAGUGUGGCCUUUAAUUAGUGGCAAAACAUUGGAGCAGUUAUUCAGAUUCGAUACCUUACUUGCAUAAUGCAUGCGGGCUUUUGUGCAAAAGAUUAUUUAAGUUGCCAUAAGGUGCAGUGGCAGGUGACAUAUAAUGGCUGUCUGGUUGAGUUACAGGAGCCGGUCUUAUUUCUAGACAAUAAUACACCAGUAUGUUAUCUGAUUUUGAUGAAUGUUAAAAGAUCAGUUCACAGCCACGGUUAACAGCAUUUAUUUGAGCAGGUUGUGUCUGUUUUGAAAACUCAAUUAUGACACUAAUAGAACAAGGGUAUACAACAUAUCUAUUUAACUGUGCCAGUGAACCUAUCCAUGAUUUUAGUUUAACCGUACUAACCCUACUCUGUUUGCUUUUUAUGUCACAAUAAAAGGAAAAAUAUAUACCUUCCAAGUUUCGACAUCAGUUCAGUAUUUUUGUCUUGAAUCGCAGAUAACAAUAUAACAUAAGCUGCAAAUUCACCAUGAUGGCCACCAUUCCGCUUAUUCCCAUAGAGGCAGUGCAGCUUCGUGAGGCACUGAAAAUCCAAGAAGCACGCAAGAGCAAUACCAUGAGAUAAGUGUGUGCAAAUAAUCACAUUAGUACGAAAAAAGUGGAGCUGUAGCAGGGCUAGAGAACAAUUUCACAUAAAGAACAUGUUUUCCCGAAUUCUAAUUCUGAUAAGCUUGAAGUUGCUGAUUAUAUAUGCAAAAAAGGUACCAAUUCUAACUCAUGGACAGCCAAAAAUAGCUAAUGAUGCAUAGAAGACAAACAUAACAGAUUUGCCAUAUAUCUCAAACCAAGUAUUCUUUAAUAUAUCUCAAACCAAGUAUUCUUUAAUGUAUCUCAAGGAGUACUAACCAAGUUAAGUUCAGCCAUAUCUCGAUUGCACAACGCAAGUCUUGCAUGAUACUCAUAAACCUGAAAAGGUAGAAAAUGGUUGUAGAAGAGAAAAGAAUAUGUUAGAACAACAAUGUAGUCAGGUGCCACAAGUGAAAUAGGGAAAAUAGAAUUUGUGGGAAUAACCUGCACAGAAAGUUCAUCCUCUAUGUUCUGGAUAGUCAUAUCUUGACGAAUUGAUUUCAGUUGAUCUGUUUUAAAAUUAUAGUCUUUACUUGAGACCUGGACAAACUUCAGGGCUUCUACAAGUACAGGCUUUGGUCUUAUCUGAAAGACAGGAAAAGAGGUCAAUUGCUGUUUAGAAGUAGCAAAAGGAAAAUAAAAGUAUAUCAAAGGAAGAAAAGGAUUCAGAGAAACACGAGUAGUGGUUACUGCAUAACUACAGUAUUUGGCUCUGACAUUCAGAAAGUUGAACUUCACAAAUAAUAGUACUCCCUCCGUAAACUAAUAUAAGAGCAUUUAGAUCACUACUUUAGUAAUCUAAACGCUCUUAUAUUAGUUUACAGAGGGAGUACUAAAUAAGAUAGGAAAUCCAGAGUAGUGGUUACUGUAUAACUACAGUAUUUGACAUACUACAGCAGAAAUCAAUGGCUCAUAGCCAGAUUUGCACAAGAAUCAGUCAAUGAACACUUCAUAUACAUAUACAGUCAAAAAACAGAUGUCAUACAUAGAUGAUCGAAGCUACAAAAUCUUUCCUACAUCCAAUAUAGCAGACAGACAUUAGUCAAGUUUGGCUGUAGCAGAAGUUUUCUAUCCAGGAGAUAUACUAACAAUGCAAUCUGCAAGCAGCUAUUAAACGGCUAAUGACUGAUGCUGAGCUACAACAUGGGAUCAAUAACACGGUCCGAUAAAAGAUGGACGGCAAGUGUGAUCUGGGAACUAUGAUUUCAAGGCAUCUUCUUUCACAACACUCAAACCAGUAGCAAUUCAACUACAGUUCACUGAAAGUCUUACCUUUGUUGCAUCUGGAGGCCCCGUGAGACGGAAGUAGCCUUUCUGUACAUCUGUGCACAUCCCUACAAUCAGACCAGUCCCAUCUCCUUCAUCCACCGUAGCUUCUGGCUUGAUCGCCCCUUCAUUAUCUGCAGCUUCUGGUCUGACCGCCCCAUUUGAAUCAUCAUGCUUAGAUUCCGAAGGACCCUGCGGCUCCUCGACUCCUGUCGACUUGAUAGCACCUGCCACUUGCUUCUCCGACAGCACUCCGCGCACAGGGCGGGGCGACCUCUUCCGGGGGAAUGCCUUGCCCUUGCGUCGGCUGCCGCCCGACGCUUCAGGCUCGGUGCGCAGCGCAGGGAGUACCGAGCUCUGGCGAGGCGAUCGCUGGCGUCCGCUGCCGCCUGGCGGCCCAGUUUGCUGGAGCCCGCCCCUCCCGCGAAAGAACCGCCGUGGUGGGAACCCGCCGCCGCUGCCGCCCCCGAGAUUGUGUGGAGGCGGCGGGCCCAAAGGGUAGCGCUCCCCACGGUCUCCUGUCUCCAGGAACGAGCCCCCACGGUCUCCACGUGGCGAGCUCUGCUGCCCCAGUCUCUCCAUGGAGCGCUGCGUCCAGCGGUCAUGGCCGUCAGACCCCGGGAACAGAGCUCCCCGCCGGCGAUCCUGAGGAGACGGUGUCCAUCGCCUCUCGCCCUCCAAGAUUAUGGCAGGGGAGCGCUCGGGGAACAUGGCUCCAUGGGAGAAUCUUGGACGUGGUGUCGCCUCGAAGCCGUCGCCGCGGCCGCGCUCCACCGGGAAGGGGCCGGAGCGAUAGAACGUCUCAUCGCGGGACUGCACGUGACCGCGUCCCUCGUGGCGCCCUGGCGGCGACGAGCCCCGCCGCCUGCGAUCAUCCAAAGCUGGUGUCCAAUCCCUUGGUCUUGAACUGGAGCACUGGUGCUCGUCGGCAAAGAAAGGCGAAUCCCAGUCCAUUGGCGACCGCGGCAGGGAGCGGUUCGGUCGCCUGAAGUCAUCACCACGGCCGCGCUCGAAACGACUCUGCCCCGGGAAAGAAUCAGCGAACUCCAAGAAUCUAGUGCUCGUAGGCGUACCGUAGUUGCUCUCGCGGCUGUACUCCGGCCAGUCAUGGUCCAAGAAUCCAUUGCCGAAGCUGUCAGCCUCCCUCUGGGGUCCCGAAGGCGAGGACACGCGCCAUGGCUCGAAUCUUGGCCGAGGGCCGUAGGGCUCCUCGCGGCUGUAAUCGAUGUAGCGCCAGAGAGGAAGGGGAGGCGAGGGCGGCCGCUCCAAGAAGGCCGCAGGAGGAGAAGGCGCGCCUGUCCAGGAGGGCGCGAAGUCCCGAGGGGGUGAGCGCCAGAGAUGGCGGUUUCUGUAGUCGUUCGCCGGCGAUGCCUGGCGUUCCCUCUUGCGUGGUGGUGACCGGCCUAAGCGCCGACGAGGAUCCAUUUGCUUGGAUUGGGUGGCGGGUUCUUGGGAAAGCGUGGAAGCGGACUUGAGAUUGGCUGAUCAGAAAAUUAGCCGUGGCGGAUGAGCGGUAGGAGGGGCUAUUUGAAGCGCUCUCGGAGGGCACUCGGGCUUCUCGAGCCGUUAAGAUUUGCGGCUGCGUCUUUUUUUUUUCUUCUUCUUCUGAAGUACCACUAUGUACCUAAAACCCUGCUUAGUAUGUUGGAUAUCCAAGCAUGAAAUUGCAAUACAAAAGGCUGACCUUGCAUACAUUCUGGAACGAGAUUGCGAACAGCUUGCCGAGAAGCCUUGAUUCGCCUUGAUGACAGCCGGUAUGAACUCUGAAGCCUGGUUUCCAAGUAGGAAGUGUAGCUCGUCAGAGACCGUCAUACGCCUAUCUGAUGGAGAUAUCCACGGCAUAUGCAUGCUCUGGUUGAAAAGUUCGCCGAUGUUCCGCCCUGAAAUUGCCAGGAGCAGCCGAACUUUGAGAAGAAGAAUACAGAGUCAUGGCGAUUAUAUUGAUUACAGAAGGCAUAAGGCCCGAAUUCCAUGGAAAAGGAUGAGUUGUAGCUGCUGGAUAAUUAAUGUUGUCCGGGUGCUCCCACGGGUAAGAUGAUCUUGCCGAUUUCAGUGCCGCCGACAUAAACCCUACAGCCGAACAGUGGGUAAUUUCAUAGCUGGACUAUAUUCCCGCCAACUCUUCAUCCGACACAAGGUCAGCACAAAGCCGUUCACUGAAAUGAACUCUGACUAGAGCCAGCUCCCAAAUUGGGAAUGUGGGAUCAGAAGAGAGUAGAUGUGGCUAUAGCCUAGAGAUCCCUAACUGAAGGUAAACGGGGGAUUGGAUGNNNNNNNNNNGUUGUGCAGGGGAAGCCUGAGGCAGAGAACAGCCAGUCGUGUAGGUGUGAAUGCCCUGUGUUGAUUAGGCUGUAGAGGACAUCCGAGAACAGGUUGUACAUACCGAGUACCUCGAGCCUCACAACCUCUCUAUGUCAUUGACAAUGGUGAGAAGGUCCACUGACCGUCACACAAGCACAUAGAUGUUUACAUGAAAGAUCUGAUGAAACAGUUGCGGGGAACCAUGGGAAAUUGUAUAGCAUCAUCAGAAGUUUCUUCAGGUCGAUAGAGAAAGGUCCAUUAACAAAGAGGACUUUGAGGAAUAUAUGUGGUAGAAGAUUAGUCAUGAGCAGGCAGACCAUGACGUGGGGAAAACCUUGGGAGGUUUUCGCCAACAUUGUGGCUGGAGACCCUGAUUUCACAUACAGAGUUCUUGCGGAUAGUGAGAGCAGGAUUAAGAGUUUGAUGUGGACAAACGGUAGCAACUAGAUGGAGUACAAGUUCUUUGGGAAUGGCACCACUUUUGAUACGACGUAUAGGAUGAAUCUAUAUGACAUACCAUUUGGUCUUUUGUGGGGAUAAACAACAACUUCUGGGGGAUUGGAUGAUUUGCCCCACUUUACAAGGGGUUGGAUGAUUUGCCCUUCGAUUGUCUCAAUGACAGUGGCCCCGGGCCCCACCCGGUAGCCUCUCGNNNNNNNNNNAAGAUCCAAUUUCUCGAAGGUAAACUCACCAAUGGUUGUAUAAUAUAAAAACAGACAAGCAAGAGGUGCCAAGUACACUGGCCAGCAAUGGCCUCAAGGCGACGAUCCUCUGCAACUAUGCCUAGCAGAUUCUGUCAAACCGGUAGUUAUGUAGAUGAUGCGUUAUUCGAAAUGUAGUAAGGUCCAAAUUAUUCUAUGGUCUAGGUAAAUACACACCAUAUCCAGCAAAGUUAAGGAGAUCGGCCUGCGAAAUUUUAUGGCAACUUCUAUUCUUGUUACUCUUACUCUACACAAACAAGUUAAGUAGUUGUAAUGCACGUCAUAUAUCGCGUGUAUUCACACCAGCUCAACUGUCCACUCUAGCUUACAGAACCUAUAGGAAUCGCGAUACAUCAACUAGCAACGACAACACUGCCGAAUUAACCGAAUUAAGUUCACCAAUUAGUGCCGUCGGACAACACUGCAAGUCUACAGUCUACAAGAAGCAAAAGUCAGCAUUCACCAACCGUCAGCAAGACAGUAACCGGCCAGGUGAGCAAGUUCUGUUCAGUAGUUCACUACAGCAUUGCAACUGAACCAACUAUGAACUACCAAAGCGAGCCAGCAACAGCAUGCUAAUUAAACAAGAUUAAAUUACAUGGUCAGGCUCAGGGCAGGCUGGUGGUGGUGGUGGUACUAGCACUGGCAGUGUGUACAGACUAGUGGAAGGUCAGAUCCUAGACAUUGUCGCGAGGGAUGCGCCUCUGCCCUCUGGGAGAUUCUGUCGAGCGCGUGGCGUGCCCGCGCUUGCGGGGGGUGCCUGCUGACGUUACGAGAGGCUCGGGGAGACAAACAGGAAUGAAAUUGACAAUGGGAUCGGAGCAAUCGACGAGGGCAAGCUCGAUUCUAUUUGCAGGGGAGAUGCUCGGGCAAACAAGAGUAAGAAAAUCACGGGAUGGUACGAGCCGAGCACCUUCGGCUGGAGGAGGAGCGCACCCACAGGCCAGAGCUUGCCGACAAGGAGACGACGAGGAGCUCGACGCCGGCAUACCACCCAGGUUGGCGCGAGCUCCAGGUCCUUCUUGGCACCCCCGUGCGCGCGCAAGUCGCUUGCUCUGAGUCCCGCCUGUUCGCCUUGUCCCGAGCGGCCGAGCCGCCGCGGCCGCGGCCGCCUGCUUCGGCCGCGAGUCUAUGGCUUUGGGAUGCCACUAUUAGUUUUUCUUUUAAGGGAAGAUGUCACCUUUUUUUGAGAUUAUAAGGGGCUUUUACUCGGUACUCCCUCCGUAAACUAAUACUGUAUAAGACCGUUUAAAUCAUAUGAUCCAACAAUCAUGUCUUUUACAAUAACGUUAUUUUCAAUAUGAAAUAUGUAAACGUCGGACGAACAAGUUUUCAUUUUAGACACAAACACAUUUGUUGCCGUCGAUCUUUAGAUCGUGUGAUCGCGUGCGCUCCUCAUUUGUUUUGCUCCCACGGUUUUCAUGCUCGCUCCCGAUGAUUUCGCUCGCUAUUGUAUUUCUUUUUGAUGAAAUGUACCAAAUGCUAUGUUUCAUUUAUUAGGAGAGGAACCAGCAGAGUCGGGAAAUUACAAGGGGAUACUGGGAAGAGAAAGAACACACACACUGAACAAUAAUAAGAACUACAAACCUGGCCAUAUUACAACCCACACGGAGGACUUCAACUAUCAUUUUCAUAUGACCAAGCAAGGCAAAGAGCGCUAAAAUCUUGGCUGUCUGGUUGCCACCCGACAAUACCCCUCAAAGGGGAAGGGGUGUUGAAAGGGAACGAGGCGAUUUGAGGUGGAUCGAAGACUUGGUAAACCGGCUUCAGAUGAGAGCAUCCGGUUGUUCCAUGGAAUUGGACGAAUGCCGAGACCAACGAGCACACCUCAGGAACCUACACCGGAAGCAAGAGGAAGAAGGACCAACCACCACCACCCACAGCCACAGACUUCAUAUCAGCCAACCACCGAGACCUCAAACAACCAGCGAGGGAUCAGUGACUCCAAGACAAUGCCUCCAUGGAGGUUACGACGUCACAGACGUCACUGUUGUCCAAUCUAGAGAUUUGAUCUUAGGCACUUUCCCAGAGAGCACAAGGUGGCUAGGCACUGGAGCUUCACGUCGAUGCCUCCAGGGAGGAAUACAACUGCCAAAAGGCGUCGUCAUGACCGUGAUACUUCCUUUUUAGCGAUACGGUAAAGGUACAAAAAGUACUCCACGCCUAUUUCCCCAAAGAGGUGACCUCGGGUUAUCGAACCCGCAAGAGGAAGGUUCCCUUGAAGGGAUGGUCUCUAGCAAACUUAUGUCAAAGAAAUAAUUCCAGCUUUUGACCGGAUCAAUCAAAAGCUAAUUGUGAUAAAACACUUAUAAUAAAAAGAGGUACGAGUAUGAGGUCUUAAUGCUUACAACCAUGUAUUCGUGUUGGGACCAAAUAUGAUCUUAAUUUGUGCGCUGGAAGUCACCCAUCGACAUGUGCUUGUUAUGAAUCAAAGUGGGGGAUGUGUCCAAAUUACAUCUUGAUCGGCACAUGUCAUGCAUCAAGAAUCAGUUGUCCAACCGAAGGCCCUACCUGUGGUGCGGGUUUGCCUUGAUAAUUAAGAUUAUAAUAAUCAGACAAGAGCUUUGGACGUUUAAUGACUACACCUCAUGAAUCCCAAAGGAUUGGAUACGUGUUACAGUACUAAACCCUUCUGUCACUUGUGUUCAGAAUAACAGUUCAUGUUCUCCCUGCCCUUAGCCUCUCUGUGGCUCGAUCUCCAUGAUCCUGGGUACUUGCAAGGAUGAAGAUCAUGGACAAGACAAGAGGCAUCUACGGAACAAUUUUAUUUCACACAUACGGGACGUUAAUUCAAAGCACUUCCAUUGAUCCCCUCAACAAAUACAGAGGGUUGCAAGGUGUAUGCCUCAACCCAUACCUUACCGAACUACUCACACAUGGAGAUAAGAUCGCAUAAAGAACACAUCUUGAAGAUCGAUCAAUUGAUAAUAUGUCUUAUAAUGGAUGCGUUGUGCACUGCAUGAUUACAAGUAUGAACUAGAGGGAGAUGGACUGUGGUGGUGAUGGUGGCUGUGGAGAUGGAAAAUGGCUGCAGCCAGGGUUGAUGAAGGGGAUGAAGAUGGCUCUAUUCUGGCUUCGCUCGCGGACAUUCUGUUGACAUCUCGACAUGGUCCCCUUUAUAAAAGUUGUUCGGGUGGACGAGGAGCCUCAGAAUGCACAUCAUACGACCGCUUAUACGGGCACUCGCGGUCGUAUGAAAUGUCGUCUUUUGCUCUAUUUCUUAUGGUGCGCUUCCUCCUGAUUUCUCUAUCUCCUCUUCUACUCAUUUCCCUGUUCACACAUGAUUUCUUCCCUUUUUAGCCCAUUUCAUAUGGAAACACAUCAAAGAGAGGAUUCGUGGAAUCAUUUGUAUUCAUUAGUCAUUAGUAGCAAUAUCAGAGCGAAUAUCUCGGUUUUAAUGAAUUAUCUCAGUUUAAACAAACGGCAACUGAGUGUAAAAAUAUCACUCAUCAACUCCCCCAAGUUUAAACUUGAUCGUCCUCGAGAAACAUAGAGAGAAAUCUGAAUCACAAGGAACUCAGUUGUUUAAACCGAAAUAAUGAGAAGAUUUUGGUUCAUUUACGAUCGGUAUGCCUAGAUAGCCCUCCACUUCUUGACCUGAAAACUUAGUAUAGUUGUAGCAAUGGCAUGGUUAUUCUUUGAUGGAGCCAUAAAAACAUAAGUUAGGGAGUGAAAGACAUGUAAAAAAACAUGAUGCUAGUAUGCUCAUAAACAUGCCCACAAUUAUCUCAUCCUCAAGGCUCUCAAGAACUUCACUUCAAUCAUUGUUUGCUGAAACUUUGGUUGUCACGUCAAGGUAUUAUGCCAAAUAAGUGAUCAUGCAUAGAGUUAUGUUGUGGCUUAAUUUUUGGGAACUAUGGACCUUUGAUAUGUGUCUCUUUCGAGCUCUUUUGACCAGUCCCCUUUAUUUACCAUGUACAUACCCACUCAAGAGAAAGCCGAAUAAUAUUCGUUCAUAGUGUUGCCACCACGUACGGUAACAAACUCAUAGCCGAAAUCCGAGCCAUAGCUCUGGUGGAUUGUUCGUUGGUCAGUGGAGUCCCCAACAUAACAUCAAGAAAGGUGACGAAGCCACAUUUACACACGUACACAUGCAUAUAGUAGCAGGGCCAUGGCACCAGCGAGAAGCUGAAGCACCAUGUAAGAGAUACAACACAGAUUUUGUUGGGGAACAUAGUAAUUUCAAAAAAAUUCCUACGCACAUGCAAGAUCAUGGUGAUGCAUAGCAACGAGAGGGGAGAGUGUUGUCCACGUACCCUCGUAGACCGAUAGCGGAAGCGUUAUCACAACGCGGUUGAUGUAGUCGUACGUCUUCACGAUCCGACCGAUCAAGUACCGAACGCACGGCACCUCCGAGUUCUACACACGUUCAGCUCGAUGACGUCCCUCGAACUCCGAUCCAGCCGAGUGUUGAGGGAGAGUUUCGUCAGCACGACGGCGUGGUGACGAUGAUGAUGUUCCACCGACGCAGGGCUUCGCCUAAGCUCCGCAACGGUAUUAUCGAGGUGUAAUAUGGUGGAGGAGGGCACCGCACACGGCUAAGAGAUCUCAAUGAUCAAUUGUUGUGUCCAUGGGGUGCCCCCUGCCCCCGUAUAUAAAGGAGCAAGGGAGGAGGAGGCCUGCCCUAGGAGGGGGCGCACCAAGUGUGGAGUCCUACUAGGACUCCCUAGUCCUAGUAGGAUUCCACCUCCCAUAUGGAAUAGGAAAAGAGGAAGGGAAAAAGAGAAGGAAGGAAGGGGGCGCCCCCCUUCCCUAGUCCAAUUCGGACCAGACCAAGGGGAGGGGUGCCGCCACCCUUGGGGCCCUUUUCCUUCUUUCCCGUAUGGCCCAAUAAGGCCCAAUACGUAUUCCCGUAACUCUCCGGUACUCUGAAAAAUACCCGAAUCACUCGGAACCUUUCCGAAGUCCGAAUAUAGUCGUCCAAUAUAUCGAUCUUUACGUCUCGGCCAUUUCGAGACUCCUCGUCAUGUCCCCGAUCUCAUCCGGGACUCCGAACUCCUUCGGUACAUCAACAUACAUAAACUCAUAAUAAAACUGUCAUCGUAACGUUAAGCGUGCGGACCCUACGGGUUCGAGAACUAUGUAGACAUGACCGAGACACGUCUUCGGUCAAUAACCAAUAGCGGGACCUGGAUGCCCAUAUUGGCUCCCACAUAUUCUACGAAGAUCUUUAUCGGUCAGACCGCAUAACAACAUACGUUGUUCCCUUUGUCACCGGUAUGUUACUUGCCCGAGAUUUGAUCGUCGGUAUCUCGAUACCUAGUUCAAUCUCGUUACCGGCAAGUCUCUUUACUCGUUCCAUAACACAUCAUCCCGCAACUAACUCAUUAGUCACAAUGCUUGCAAGGCUUAUAGUGAUGUGGAUUACCGAGUGGGCCCAGAGAUACCUCUCCGACAAUUGGAGUGACAAAUCCUAAUCUCGAAAUACGCCAACCCAACAAGUACCUUUGGAGACACCUGUAGAGCACCUUUAUAAUCACCCAUUUACGUUGUGACGUUUGGUAGCACACAAAGUGUUCCUCGGGUAAACGGGAGUUGCAUAAUCUCAUAGUCAUAGGAACAUGUAUAACUCAUGAAGAAAGCAAUAGCAACAUACUAAACGAUCGAGUGCUAAGCUAACGGAAUGGGUCAAGUCAAUCACGUCAUUCUCCUAAUGAGGUGAUCUCGUUAAUCAAAUGACACCUCAUAUCUAUGGCUAGGAAACAUAACCAUAUUUGAUUAACGAGCUAGUCAAGUAGAGGCAUACUAGUGACACUCUGUUUGUCUAUGUAUUCACACAUGUAUUAUGUUUCCGGUUAAUACAAUUCUAGCAUGAAUAAUAAACAUUUAUCAUGAUAUAAGGAAAUAUAUAAUACUUUAUUAUUGCCUCUAGGGCAUAUUUCCUUCAGNNNNNNNNNNUGUGAUUAACACCCAUAGUUCACAUCUCUAUGUGACCAACACUCAAAGGGUUUACUAGAGUCAAUAAUCUAGUUCACAUCGCUAUGUGAUUAACACCCAAAGUGUACUAAGGUGUGAUCAUGUUUUGAUUGUGAGAUAAUUUUAGUCAACGGGUCUGUCACAUUCAGAUCCGUAAGGAUUUUGCAAAUUCCUAUGUCUACAAUGCUCUGCACGGAGCUACUCUAGCUAAUUGCUCCCACUUUCAAUAUGUAUCUAGACCGAGACUUAGAGUCAUCUAGAUUUAGUGUCAAAACUUGCAUCGACGUAACCCUUUACGACGAACCUUUUGUCACUUCCAUAAUCGAGAAACAUUUCCUUAUUCCACUAAGGAUAAUUUUGACCGCUGUCCAGUGAUCUACUCCUAGAUCACUAUUGUACUCCCUUGCCAAAAUCAGUGUAGGGUAUACAAUAGAUCUGGUAUACAGCAUGGCAUACUUUAUAGAACCUAUGGCCAAGGCAUAGGGAAUGACUUUCAUUCUCUUUCUAUCUUCUGCGGUGGUCUGGCUUUAAGUCUUACUCAAUUUCAUACCUUGUAACACAGGCAAGAACUCUUUCUUUGACUGUUCUAUUUUGAACUACUUCAAAAUCUUGUUAAGGUAUGUACUCAUUGAAAAAACUUAUCAAGCGUUUUGAUCUAUCUCUAUAGAUCUUGAUGCUCAAUAUGUAAGCAGCUUCACCGAGGUCUUUCUUUUGAAAAACUCCUUUCAAACACUCCUUUAUGCUUUGCAGAAUAAUUCUACAUUAUUUCCGAUCAACAAUAUGUCAUUCACAUAUACUUAUCAGAAAUGCUGUAGUGCUCCCACUCACUUUCUUGUAAAUACAGGCUUCACUGCAAGUCUGUAUAACACUAUAUCCUUUGAUCAACUUAUCAAAGUGUAUAUUCCAACUCCGAGAUGCUUGCACCAGCCAUAGAUGGAUUGCUGGAGCUUGCAUAUUUUAUUAGCACCUUUAGGAUUGACAAAACCUCCUGGUUGCAUCAUAUACAACUCUUCUUUAAUAAAUCCAUUAAGGAAUGCAGUUUUGUUUAUCCCUUUGCCAUAUUUCAUAAAAUGCGGCAAUUGCUAACAUGAUUCGGACAGACUUAAGCAUAGAUACGAGUGAGAAACUCUCAUCGUAGUCAACAUCUUGAACUUGUCGAAAACCUUUUGCGACAAUUCUAGCUUUGUAGAUAGUGACACUACUAUCAGCGUCCGUCUUCCUCUUGAAGAUCCAUUUAAUCUCAAUGGCUCGCCGAUCAUUGGGCAAGUCAAUCAAAGUCCAUACUUUGUUCUCAUAUAUGGAUCUUAUCUCAGAUUUCAUGGCCUCAAGCCAUUUUGCGGAAUCUGGACUCACCAUCGCUUCUUCAUAGUUUGUAGGUUCGCCAUGGUCUAGUAACAUGACCUCCAGAACAGGAUUACCGUACCACUCUGGUGCGGUUCUUGAUCUAGUUGACCUACGAAGUUCAGUAAUAACUUGAUCUGAAGUUUCAUGAUCAUUAUCAUUAACUUCCUCACUAAUUGGUGUAGGAGUCACAGGAACAGAUUUCUGUGAUGAACUACUUUCCAAUAAGGGAGCAGGUACAGUUACCUCAUCAAGUUCUACUUUCCUCCCACUCACUUCUUUCGAGAGAAACUCCUUUUCUAGAAAGGAUCCAUACUAAGCAACGAAUGUCUUGCCUUCGGAUCUGUGAUAGAAGGUAUACCCAACUGUUUCCUUUGGGUAUCCUAUGAAGACACAUUUCUCCGAUUUGGGUUUGAGCUUAUCAGGAUGAAACCUUUUCACAUAAGCAUCGCAACCCCAAACUUUAAGAAACGACAACUUUGGUUUCUUGCCAAACCACAGUUCAUAAGGCGUCGUCUCAACGGAUUUUGAUGGUGCCCUAUUUAACGUGAAUGUAGCUGUCUCUAAUGCAUAACCCCAAAACGAUAGUGGUAAAUUGGUAAGAGACAUCAUAUAUCGCACCAUAUCUAAUAAAGUACGGUUAUGAUGUUCGGACACACCAUUAUGCUGUGGUGUUCCGGGUGGUGUGAGUUGCGAAGCUAUUCCGCAUUGUUUAAAAUGUAGUCCAAACUCGUAACUCAAAUAUUUUACCUCUGCGAUCAUAUCGUAGAAACUUUUAUUUUCUUGUUACGAUGAUUCUCCACUUCACUCUGAAAUUCUUUGAACUUUUCAAAUGUUUCAGACUUUGUGUUUCAUCAAGUAGAUAUACCCAUAUCUGCUCAAAUCAUCUGUGAAGGUCAGAAAAUAAUGAUACCUGCUACGAGCCUCAAUAUUCAUCGGACCACAUACAUCUGUAUGUAUGAUUUCCAACAAAUUUGUUGCUCUCUCCAUAGUACCGGAGAACGGCGUUUUAGUCAUCUUGCCCAUGAGGCACGGUUCGCAAGCAUCAAGUGAUUCCAAAAUCCCAUCAGUAUGGAGUUUCUUCAUGCGCUUUACACCAAUAUGACCUAAACGGCAGUGCCAAAAAUAAGUUGCACUAUCAUUAUUAACUUUGCAUCUUUUGGCUUCAAUAUUAUGAAUAUGUGUAUCACUACGAUCGAGAUCCAACAAACCAUUUUCGUUGGUGUGUGUGACCAUAAAAGGUUUUGAUUCAUGUAAACAGAACAACAAUUGUUCUCUAACUUAAAUGAAUAACCGUAUUGCAAUAAACAUGAUCAAAUCAUAUUCAUGCUCAACGCAAACACCAAAUAACACUUAUUUAGUUUCAACACUAAUCCCGAAAGUAUAGGGAGUGUGCGAUGAUGAUCAUAUCAAUCUUGGAACUACUUCCAACACACAUCGUCACCUCGCCUUUUACUAGUCUCUGUUUAUUCUGCUACUCCCGUUUUCGAGUUACUACUCUUUAGCAACUGAACCAGUAUCAAAUACUGAGGGGUUGCUAUAAACACUAGUAAGUACACAUCAAUAACAUGUAUAUCCAAUAUACCUUUGUUCACUUUGCCAUCUUUCUUAUCCACCAAAUACUUGGGGUAGUUCCGCUUCCAGUGACCAGUCCCUUUGCAGUAGAAGCACUUAGUCUCAGGCUUAGGUACAGACUUGGGCUUCUUCACUUGAGUAGCAACUUGCUUGCCGUUCUUUUGAAGUUCCCCUUCUUCCCUUUGCCCUUUUCUUGAAACUAGUGGUCUUGUCAACCAUCAACACUCGAAGUGGUCUCGUCAACCAUCAACACUUGAUAUUUUUCUUGAUUUCUACCUUCGUCGAUUUCAGCAUCACGAAGAGCUCGGGAAUUACUUUCGUCAUCCCUUGCAUACUAUAGUUCAUCACGAAGUUCUACUAACUUGGUGAUGGUGACUAGAGAAUUCCUUCAAUCACUAUUUUAUCUGGAAGAUUAACUCCCACUUGAUUCAAGCGAUUGUAGUACCCAGACAAUCUGAGCACAUGCUCACUAGUUGAGCGAUUCUCCUCCAUCUUUUAGCUAUAGAACUUGUUGGAGACUUCAUAUCUCUCAACUCAGGUAUUUGCUUGAAAUAUUAACUUCAACUCCUGGAACAUCUUAUAUGGUCCAUGACGUUCAAAACGUCUUUGAAGUCCCGAUUCUAAGCCGUUAAGCAUGGUGCACUAAACUAUCAAGUAGUCAUCAUAUUGAGCUAGCCAAACGUUCAUAACGUCUGCAUCUGCUCCUGCAAUAGGUCUGUCACCUAGCGGUGCAUCAAGGACAUAAUUCUUCUGUGCAGCAAUGAGGAUAAUCCUCAGAUCACGGAUCCAAUCCGCAUCUUUGCUACUAACAUCUUUCAACAUAAUUUUUCUCUAGGAACAUAUCAAAAAUAAACACAGGGAAGCAACAACGCGAGCUAUUGAUCUACAACAUAAUUUGCAAAAUACUAUCAGGACUAAGUUCAUGNNNNNNNNNNNNNNNNNNNNNNNNNNNNNNNNNNNNNNNNNNNNNNNNNNNNNNNNNNNNNNNNNNNNNNNNNNNNNNNNNNNNNNNNNNNNNNNNNNNNNNNNNNNNNNNNNNNNNNNNNNNNNNNNNNNNNNNNNNNNNNNNNNNNNNNNNNNNNNNNNNNNNNNNNNNNNNNNNNNNNNNNNNNNNNNNNNNNNNNNNNNNNNNNNNNNNNNNNNNNNNNNNNNNNNNNNNNNNNNNNNNNNNNNNNNNNNNNNNNNNNNNNNNNNNNNNNNNNNNNNNNNNNNNNNNNNNNNNNNNNNNNNNNNNNNNNNNNNNNNNNNNNNNNNNNNNNNNNNNNNNNNNNNNNNNNNNNNNNNNNNNNNNNNNNNNNNNNNNNNNNNNNNNNNNNNNNNNNNNNNNNNNNNNNNNNNNNNNNNNNNNNNNNNNNNNNNNNNNNNNNNNNNNNNNNNNNNNNNNNNNNNNNNNNNNNNNCAACGGUGCAUACUCAGGGAGAACACUUUUAUCUUGAAAUUUUAGUGAGAGAUCAUCUUAUAAUGCUACCGUCAAUCAAAGCAAGAUAAGAUGCAUAAAGGAUUAACAUCACAUGCAAUCAAUAUAAGUGAUAUGAUAUGGCCAUCAUCAUCUUGUGCUUGUGAUCUCCAUCUCCGAAGCACCGUGCUUGUGAUCUCCAUCUCCGAAGCACCGUCAUGAUCACCAUCGUCACCGGCGCGACACCUUGAUCUCCAUCGUAGCAUCGUUGUCGUCUCGCCAACUUAUUGCUUUUACGACUAUCGCUACCGCUUAGUGAUAAAGUAAAACUAUUACAUGGCGAUUGCAUCUCAUACAAUAAAGCGACAACCAUAUGGCUCCUGCCAGUUGCCGAUAACUCGGUUACAAAACAUGAUCAUCUCAUACAACACAUUAUAUCACAUCAUGUCUUGAGCAUAUCACAUCACAACAUGCCCUGCAAAAAGAAGUUAGACGUCCUCUACUUUGUUGUUGCAUAUUUUACGUGGCUGCUACGGGCUUAGCAAGAACCGUUCUUACCUACGCAUCAAAACCACAACGAUAGUUUGUCAAGUUGGUGCUGUUUUAACCUUCGCAAGGACCGGGCGUAGCCACACUCGGUUCAACUAAUGUGAGAGAGACAGACACCCGCUAGUCACCUUUAAGCAACGAGUGCUCCGAACGGUGAAACCAGUCUCGCGUAAGCGUACGCGUAAUGUCGGUCCGGGCCGCUUCAUCUCACAAUACCGCUGAACCAAAGUAUGACAUGCUGGUAAGCAGUAUGACUUAUAUCGCCCACAACUCACUUGUGCUCUACUCGUGCAUAGCAUCAACGCAUAAAACCAGGCUCGGAUGCCACUGUUGGGGAAUGUAGUAAUUUCAAAAAAAUUCCUACGCACACGCAAGAUCAUGCUGAUGCAUAGCAACGAGAGGGGAGAGUGUUGUCCACGUACCCUCGUAGACCGAUAGCGGAAGCGUUAUCACAACGCGGUUGAUGUAGUCGUACGUCUUCACGAUCCGACCGAUCAAGUACCGAACGCACGGCACCUCCGAGUUCUACACACGUUCAGCUCGAUGACGUCCCUCGAACUCCGAUCCAGCCGAGUGUUGAGGGAGAGUUUCGUCAGCACGACGGCGUGGUGACGAUGAUGAUGUUCCACCGACGCAGGGCUUCGCCUAAGCUCCGCAACGGUAUUAUCGAGGUGUAAUAUGGUGGAGGGGGCACCGCACACGGCUAAGAGAUCUCAAGGAUCAAUUGUUGUGUCCAUGGGAUGCCCCCUGCCCCCGUAUAUAAAGGAGCAAGGGAGGAGGAGGCCUGCCCUAGGAGGGGGCGCACCAAGUGUGGAGUCCUACUAGGACUCCCUAGUCCUAGUAGGAUUCCACCUCCCAUAUGGAAUAGGAAAAGAGGAAGGGAAAAAGAGAAGGAAGGAAGGGGGCGCCCCCCUUCCCUAGUCCAAUUCGGACCAGACCAAGGGGAGGGGUGCGGCCACCCUUGAGGCCCUUUUCCUUCUUUCCCGUAUGGCCCAAUAAGGCCCAAUACGUAUUCCCGUAACUCUCCGGUACUCUGAAAAAUACCCGAAUCACUCGGAACCUUUCCGAAGUCCGAAUAUAGUCGUCCAAUAUAUCGAUCUUUACGUCUCGGCCAUUUCGAGACUCCUCGUCAUGUCCCCGAUCUCAUCCGGGACUCCGAACUCCUUCGGUACAUCAACAUACAUAAACUCAUAAUAAAACUGUCAUCGUAACGUUAAGCGUGCGGACCCUACGGGUUCGAGAACUAUGUAGACAUGACCGAGACACGUCUUCGGUCAAUAACCAAUAGCGGGACCUGGAUGCCCAUAUUGGCUCCCACAUAUUCUACGAAGAUCUUUAUCGGUCAGACCGCAUAACAACAUACGUUGUUCCCUUUGUCACCGGUAUGUUACUUGCCCGAGAUUUGAUCGUCGGUAUCUCGAUACCUAGUUCAAUCUCGUUACCGGCAAGUCUCUUUACUCGUUCCAUAACACAUCAUCCCGCAACUAACUCAUUAGUCACAAUGCUUGCAAGGCUUAUAGUGAUGUGGAUUACCGAGUGGGCCCAGAGAUACCUCUCCGACAAUUGGAGUGACAAAUCCUAAUCUCGAAAUACGCCAACCCAACAAGUACCUUUGGAGACACCUGUAGAGCACCUUUAUAAUCACCCAUUUACGUUGUGACGUUUGGUAGCACACAAAGUGUUCCUCGGGUAAACGGGAGUUGCAUAAUCUCAUAGUCAUAGGAACAUGUAUAACUCAUGAAGAAAGCAAUAGCAACAUACUAAACGAUCGAGUGCUAAGCUAACGGAAUGGGUCAAGUCAAUCACGUCAUUCUCCUAAUGAGGUGAUCUCGUUAAUCAAAUGACACCUCAUAUCUAUGGCUAGGAAACAUAACCAUAUUUGAUUAACGAGCUAGUCAAGUAGAGGCAUACUAGUGACACUCUGUUUGUCUAUGUAUUCACACAUGUAUUAUGUUUCCGGUUAAUACAAUUCUAGCAUGAAUAAUAAACAUUUAUCAUGAUAUAAGGAAAUAUAUAAUACUUUAUUAUUGCCUCUAGGGCAUAUUUCCUUCAGAUUUUUGGCAUAAUCUCGUUCACCCUUCAACUAGUUCCUAAGAAAAUUUAAUUCACUAGUGAUAUCAAGUCUAUUAAAAUUAACAACAUGGGGUUGAGCAUUUCAAACAUCAUCUUCUCUACAAUUUUUCUCAACACCCAAGUCUGAAGACUUUCUCUUGUGCAUGGUUAUUCUUAGUUAAGAUCAUUUCAUUUAAAAACAGUCCCAUGGCAAGUCUUUGUUAUCUAGACUAAACAGACAAAGGCUGCAAAAUUAUUUCAGCUACUAGAACAAAACCUUUGUCUUAAUUAUCAAGACUCACUCCCUCCUGCACACAUCGCACAUACUACUAUACAUAUACUCUAAGUAUUUCAAGUGCAAAAGAUGGGAGUCGUAGGACAUACCUUCACGGUUGUGAAUUUUCACAUUUCUCUUCCUUAUUCUUGCAUUCCUUGUUGUCCCACGUAGAUCAUCUCCCCUGAAAAAAAUGCAAAUGAACUCCGAGGGGUAAAAAGAACAAGAAAAAAGCAAAGCUUAUUCUAUUGUUUUGGCCUUUGGGUUUUUGAAAACUAACUUGCAAACGAAAAAUCGCAAAGGCAAAAAGAAAAACGAAAGCAAAUAAAAAGGAGGGUGUUGUAACAGACCAACACGAGUGUUUUAAAGCUCAACGAGCUUAAGUACAACCUCAUUACAUUUUAUUCAAAUAAUACCGCCACAUCUUGAUGUGCAAGUGGUGAUGGCCUCCCCCAAGCUAAAGCUUUUUCAAGCCCAAACCGGCGAGAUCAUUGUGGCGGUUGUCAGGAGCCCAUCCUUGGCUCAAGUUGGAGAAACUUGAACUCAUGUAGGCGGACGUGUCUCGAAAGGACUCGACAAGGUUUCUCAUAUCAUUGAUAGAGCCUUGGAGACUGUAGAUGUCCGUGUAGGUGGUGUAGGCUUCUUGCGGUAGCUACUCUUGGGGCUGCUCCUCUUCUUCGUCGGUGACGAGUUCUUCUGCAUCUACUUGUUCGGGUUCCGGGCCUCCUUGGUCAAAAGAUGCAUCUCCUUCCUGUGGAACAUAAUGCAAUUGUCCAUCUUAUACAGAGAAAAGGUUAGGCAUAGGAGUAGGCAACAAGUACGCCACUCUAGGAAUUUUGAUGCAAUGAUGACCACGGCUAACUACUACCAUUCCAGUGCUAGUAAGAACAUGAAUAUUAACAAUGUUGUUACCGACAAUGUGGCGAAGGUGAUUGUAGUUGAGACCAAGGGAGUUGGCCAACAUGGUGAUCACCCCUCCACACACGAUAUCUCCUUGUGCAUGAUUUGCUUGACGCAAGGUGUAGCAAAAGUAUUGCCACUAAGUUGGGCAAAUAACUGAUACGUCUCUAACGUAUCUAUAAUUUUGAUUGUUCCAUGUUGUUAUAUUAUCAUUCUUGGAUGUUUUACAAUCAUUUUAUAGCAACUUUAUAUCAUUUUUUGGGACUAACCUAUUGACAUAGUGCCCAGUGCUAGUUGCUGUUUUUUUGCUUGUUUUUUACUUCGCAGAAAAUUAAUACCAAACGGAGUCCAAACACAGCGAAACUUUGUGGAGAAUUUUUCUAGGCCAGAAGACACAGGAUGGGCCAAAGAAGUACCAGAAGGGUGCCCCAAGGGGGGCACAACCCACCUGGAGGCCCAGACACGCCCUGGUGGGUUAUGCCCACCUCGGUGGCCUCCCGCACUGCCACUUUGCUCUAUAAAUACCCCAAUAUUCCAGAAACCCUAGGGGAGUCGAUGAAAAACAAUUGAGUCGUCGCAAGUUCCAGAAACCACAGAUCCAGUCUAGACACCAUCACGGAGGGGUUCAUCAUCUUCAUUGGUGCCUCUCCGAUGAUGUGUGAGUAGUUCAUUGUAGACCUACGGGUCCGUAGUUAGUAGCUAGAUGGCUUCCUCUCUCUAUCUCUCUCUCUCUCUUUUGAUUCUCAAUACAAUGGUCUCUUGGAGAUCUAUUUGAUGUAACUUUGAGUUUAUGAUCAGAUCUAUGUUUUUAUCCAUGGAAGUUAUUUGAGUCUUUUGAUCUCUUAUAUGCAUGAUUACUUAUAGCCUCGUAUUUCUUCUUCGAAUCUUUGGUUUAGUUAGGCCGACUAGAUCGAUUUUUCUUGCCAUGGGAAGAGGUGCUUUGUGAUGGGUUCGAUCUUACGGUGCUUAAUCCAAGUGACAGAAGGGGAAAUGACAUGUAUGUAUCGUUGCUAUUAAGGAUAGCAAGAUGGGGUCUGAUGUCUACUACGCAACUUUAUUCUUGUAGACUCGUGUUGGGCCUCUAAGCGCAGAUUUUUGUAGGACAGUAGCAAUUUUCCCUCAAGUGGAUGACCUAAGGUUUAUCAAUCCGUGGGAGGCGUAGGAUGAAGAUGGUCUCUCUCAAACAACCUUGCAACCAAAUAACAAAAAGUCUCUUGUGUACCCAACACACCAAAUACAAUGGAAAUUUGUAUAGGUGCACUAGUUUGGUGAAGAGAUGGUGAUACAAGCGUAGUAAUGAUAGUAGAUAUUGAUUUUUGUAAUAGGAACAAUAAAAACAGCAAGGUAGCAAUUGAUAAAACGGAGCACAAACGGUAUUGCAAUGCUUGAAAAUGAGGCCUAGGGUCCGUACUUUCACUAGUGCAUUCUCUCAACAAUGCUAAUAUAAUUGGAUCAUAUAACCAUCCCUCAACGUGCGAUGAAGAAUCACUCCAAAGUUCCUAUCUAGCGGAGAACAUAAGAAGAAAUUUUUUGUAGCUAUUCUUUCCGAUCGAUCUAUCCAAGAGUUCGUACUAAAAUAACACCAGGUUAUUCUUUCCGAUCGAUCUAUCAAGAGUUCGUACUAAAAUAACACUAAGUUAUUCUUUCCGAUCGAUCUAUCAAGAGUUCGUACUAAAAUAACACCAAAGCAAAUUCAGAUUCAUAAUACUCAAUCCAACACAAAGAACCUCAAAGAGUGCCCCAUGAUUUCUACCGGAGAAACAAAAGACGAGAACGUGCAUCAAACCCUAUGCAUAGAUUACCCCAAUGUCACCUCGGGAAUCCGUGAGUUGAGUGCCAAAAAACAUAUCAAGUGAAUCAAUAUGAUACCCCGUUGUCACCACGGGUAUUCAUAGCAAGACAUACAUCAAGUCCUCUCAAAUCCAUAAAAGUAUUCAAUCCGAUAAAACGAAAUCUCAAAGGGAAAACUCGAUUCACAACAAGAUAGAGAGGGGAAAACACCAUAUGAUCUGACUAUAUUAACAAAGCCUGCGAUACAUCAAGAUCGUGACAUCUCAAGAACACGAGAGAGGGAGAGAGAGAGAGAUUAAACACAUAGCUACUGGUACAAACCCUCAGCCCCGAGGGUGGACUACUCCCUCCUCAUCAUGGUGGCCGCCGAGAUGAUGAAUAUGGCCACCGGUGAUGAUUUCCCCUCGGGCAGAAUGCCGGAACGGGGUCUAGAUUGGUUUUUGUGGGUACACAGGCUUACGGCGGCGGAACUUCUUGUUGGGGAACGUAGUAUUUCAAAAAAAAUCCUACGAUCACACAAGAUCUAUCUAGGAGAAGCAUAACAACGAGCGUGGAGAGUGUGUCCACGUACCCUCAUAGACCGAAAGCGGAAGCGUUUAGUAACGCGGUUGAUGUAGUCGAACGUCUUCGCGAUCCAACCGAUCAAGUACCGAACGCACGGCACCUCCGCAAUCUGCACACGUUCAUCUCGGUGACAUCCCUCGAACUCUUGAUCUAGUUGAGGCCGAGGGAGAGUUCCGUCAGCACGACGGCGUGGUGACGGUGAUAUGACCGAGGUGUGAAACUGUGGAGGGAGGCACCGCACACGGCUAAAAGAUCAACUUGUGUCUAUAGGGUUCCCCCCUCCCCCGUAUAUAAAGGAGGGAGGGAGGAGGCCGGCCGGCCCUAGGGGGCGCGCCCAAGGAGGGGAGUCCUACUAGGACAUGGGAGGGAGAGAGGGGGAAGGAAGGAGAGGGAGAGAGGGAGAAGGAAAGGGGGGCGCCGCCCCCCUUCCCUUGUCCAAUUCAGACUGCAAGGGGGGGCUGUCCUGGUUGCCCUCCUCUCUCUCCACUAAGGCCCAUGAUGGCCCAUUAGUUCCCCCGGGGUUCCGGUAACCCCUCCGGCACUCCGGUUUUACCCGAAACCAUCCGGAACACUUCCGGUGUCCGAAUAACAUGGUCCAAUAUAUCAAUCUUUAUGUCUCUACCAUUUUGAGACUCCUCGUCAUGUCCGUGAUCUCAUCCGGGACUCCGAACAACCUUAGGUACAUCAAAUCACAUAACUCACAAUACAAAUCGUCAUCGAACGUUAAGCGUGCGGACCCUGCGGGUUCGAGAACUAUGUAGACAUGACCGAGACACAUCUCCGGUCAAUAACCAAUAGCGGAACCUGGAUGCUCAUAUUGGCUCCUACAUAUUCUACGAAGAUCUUUAUCGGUCAAACCGCAUAACAACAUACGUUGUUCCCUUUGUCAUCGGUAUGUUACUUGCCCGAGAUUCGAUCGUCGGUAUCUCAAUACCUAGUUCAAUCUCGUUACCGGCAAGUCUCUUUACUCGUUCCGUAAUGCAUCAUCCCGCAACUAACUCAUUAGUCACAUUGCUUGCAAGGCUUAUAGUGAUGAGCAUUACCGAGAGGGCCCAGAGAUACCUCUCCGAUACACGGAGUGACAAAUCCUAAUCUCGAUCUAUGCCAACCCAACAAACACCUUUGGAGACACCUGUAGAGCAGCUUUGUAUCACCUAGUUACGUUGUGAUGUUUGAUAGGACACAAGGUGUUCCUCCGGUAUUCGGGAGUUGCAUAAUCUCAUAGUCAGAGGAACAUGUAUAAUUCAUGUUGAAAGCAAUAGCAAUAAAACUAAACAUUCAUUUAUGCUAAGCUAACGGAUGGGUCUUGUCCAUCACAUCAUUCUCCUAAUGAUGUGAUCCCGUUCAUCAAAUGACAACACAUGUCUAUGGUCAGGAAACUUAACCAUCUUUGAUUAACGAGCUAGUCUAGUAGAGGCAUACUAGGGACACUUUGUUUUGUCUAUGUAUUCACACAUGUAUCAAGUUUCCGGUUAAUACAAUUCUAGCAUGAAUAAUAAACAUUUAUCAUGAUAUAAGGAAAUAUAAAUAACAACUUUAUUAUUGCCUCUAGGGCAUAUUUCCUUUAGUCUCCCACUUGCACUAGAGUCAAUAAUCUAGUUCACAUCGCCAUGUGUUUUAACACCAAUAGUUCACGUCACCAUGUGAUUAGUUCACAUCGCCAUGUGACUAAUACCCAAAGGGUUUUACUAGAGUCAAUAAUCUAGUUCACAUUGCUAUGUAAUUAACACCCAAAGAGUACUAAGGUGUGAUCAUGUUUUGCUUGUGAGAGAAGCUUAGUCAAUGGGUCUGUCACAUUUAGAGCCAUAUGUAUUUUGCAAAUUUUCUAUGUCUACAAUGCUCUGCACGGAGCUACUCUAGCUAAUUGCUCCCACUUUCAAUAUGUAUCCAGAUUGAGACUCAGAGUCAUCUGGAUCGGUGUAAAAGCUUGCAUCGGCGUAACUCUUUACGACGAACUCUUUAUCACCUCCAUAACCGAGAAAUAUCUCCUUAGUCUUCUAAGGAUAAUUUUGACCGCUGUCAAGUGAUCCACUCCUGGAUCAAUAUCGUACCCCCUUUGCCAAACUCAUGGCAAGGUACACAAUAGGUUUGGUACAAACCAUAGCAUACUUUAUAGAACCUAUGUCUGAGGCAUAGGGAAUGACUUUCAUUCUCUUUCUAUUUUCUGCCGUGGUCGUGUUUUGAGUCUUACUCAACUUUACACCUUGCAAUACAGGCAAGAACUCCUUCUUUGACUGUUCCAUUUUGAACUAGUUCAAAAUCUUGUCAAGGUAUGUACUCAUUGAAAAAUCUUAUCAAGCGUCUUGAUCUAUCUCUAUAGAUCUUGAUGCCCAAUAUGUAAGCUGCUUUACCAAGGUCUUUCUUUGAAAAACUCCUUUGAAGCACUCCUUUAUGCUUUCCAGAGAAUUCUACUGAAGGAAAUAUGCCCUAGAGGCAAUAAUUACGUUAUUAUUUAUUUCCUUAUUUCAUGAUAAAUGUUUAUUAUUCAUGCUAGAAUUGUAUUAACCGGAAACAUAAUACUUGUGUGAAUACAUAGACAAACAGAGUGUCACUAGUAUGCCUCUACUUGACUAGCUCGUUGAUAAAAGAUGGUUAUGUUUCCUAGCCAUAGACAUGAGUUGUCAUUUGAUUAACGGGAUCACAUCAUUAGGAGAAUGAUGUGAUUGACUUGACCCAUUCCGUUAGCUUAGCACUUGAUCGUUUAAUAUUCUACUAUUGCUUUCUUCAUGACUUAUACAUGUUCCUAUGACUAUGAGAUUAUGCAACUCCCGUUUACCGGAGGAACACUUUGUGUGCUACCAAACGUCACAACGUAACUGGGUGAUUAUAAAGGUAUGCUCUACAGGUGUCUCCGAAGGUACUUGUUUGGUUGGCGUAUUUCGAGAUUAGGAUUUGUCACUCCGAUUGUCGGAGAGGUAUCUCUGGGCCCACUCAGUAAUGCACAUCACUAUAAGCCUUGCAAGCAUUGUAACUAAUGAGUUACUUGUGGGAUGAUGUAUUAUGGAACAACUAAAUAGACUUGCCGGUAACGAGAUUGAACUAGGUAUUGAGAUACCGACGAUCGAAUCUCGGGCAAGUAACAUACCAAUGACAAAGGGAACAACGUAUGUUGUUAUGCGGUUUGACCAAUAAAGAUCUUCGUAGAAUAUGUGGGAGCCAAUAUGAGCAUCCAGGUUCCGCUAUUGGUUAUUGACCGGAGACGUGUCUCGGUCAUGUCUACAUAGUUCUCGAACCCAUAGGGUCCGCACGCUUAAAGUUAGAUGACGGUUAUAUUAUGAGUUUAUGUGUUUUGAUGUACCGAAGGAGUUCGGAGUCCCGGAUGAGAUCAGGGACAUGACGAGGAGUCUCGAAAUGGUCGAGACGUAAAGAUCGAUAUAUUGGACGACUAUAUUCGGACAUAGGAAAGGUUCCGAGUGAUUCGGGUAUUUUUCGGAGUACCGGAGAGUUACGGGAAUUCGUAUUGGGCCUUAAUGAGCCAUACGGGAAAGGAGAGAAAGGCCCCAAAGGGUGGCCGCACCCCUCCCCAUGGUCUAGUCCGAAUUGGACUAGAGAGGGGGGCGCCCCCUUCCUUCCUUCUCCUUCUCCCUCCCCUUCUCAUACUCCAACAAGGUAAGGAGGAGUCCUACUCCCGGUGGGAGUAGGACUCCCCCCUUGGCGCGCCCUCCUCAUAGGCCGGCCGCCUCCCCCCUUGCUCCUUUAUAUACGGGGGCAGGGGGCACCCCAAAGACACAACAAUUGAUCUAUUGAUCUCUUAGCCGUGUGCGGUGCCCCCCUCCACCAUAAUCCACCUCGAUAAUAUUGUAACGGUGCUUAGGCGAAGCCCUGCGUCGGUAGAACAUCAUCAUCGUCACCAUGCCGUCGUGCUGACGGAACUCUCCCUCAAAGCUCGACUGGAUCAGAGUUCGAGGGACGUCAUCGAGCUGAACGUGUGCUGAACUCGGAGGUGCCGUACGUUAGGUACUUGGACCGGUCGGAUCGUGAAGACGUACGACUACAUCAACUGCGUUGUGCUAACGCUUCCACUUUCGGUCUACGAGGGUACAUGGACAACACUCUCCCCUCUCGUUGCUAUGCAUCACCAUGAUCUUGCGUGUGCGUAGAAGUUUUUUGAAAUUACUACGUUCCCCAACAGUGGCAUCCGAGCCUGGUUUUAUGCGUAGAUGUCAUAUGCACGAGUAGAACACAAGUGAGUUGUGGGCGAUAUAAGUCAUACUGCUUACCAGCAUGUCAUACUUUGGUUCGGCGGUAUUGUUGGAUGAAGCGGCCCGGACCGACAUUACGCGUACGCUUACGCGAGACUGGUUCUACCGACGUGCUUUGCACAUAGGUGGCUGGCGGGUGUCAGUUUCUCCAACUUUAGUUGAACCGAGUGUGGCUACGCCCGGUCAUUGCGAAGGUUAAAACGGCACCAACUUGACAAACUAUCAUUGUGGUUUUGAUGCGUAGGUAAGAACGGUUCUUGCUAAGCCCGUAGCAGCCACGUAAAACUUGCAACAACAAAGUAGAGGACGUCUAACUUGUUUUUGCAGGGCAUGUUGUGAUGUGAUAUGGUCAAAGCAUGAUGCUAAAUUUAUUGUAUGAGAUGAUCAUGUUUUGUAACCGAGUUAUCGGCAACUGGCAGGAGCCAUAUGGUUGUCGCUUUCUUGUAUGCAAUGCAAUCGCCCUGUAAUGCUUUACUCUAUCACUAAGCGGUAGCGAUAGUCGUAGAAGCAUAAGAUUGGCGAGACGACAACGAUGCUAGGAUGGAGAUCAAGGUGUCACACCGGUGACGAUGGUGAUCAUGACGGUGCUUCGGAGAUGGAGAUCACAAGCACAAGAUGAUGAUGGGCAUAUCAUAUCACUUAUAUUGAUUGCAUGCGAUGUUUAUCUUUUAUGCAUCUUAUCUUGCUUUGAUUGGCGAUAGCAUUAUAAGAUGAUCCCUCACUAAAUUAUCAAAGUAUAAGUGUUCUCCCUGAGUAUGCACCGUUGCAAAAGUUCUUCGUGCUGAGACACCACGUGAUGAUCGGGUGUGAUAGGCUCUACGUUCAAAUACAACGGGUGCAAAACAGUUGCACAUGCGGAAUACUCAGGUUAAGCUUGACGAGCCUAGCAUAUAACAGAUAUGGCCUCGGAACACGGAGACCGAAAGGUUGAGCGUGAAUCAUAUAGUAGAUAUGAUCAACAUAGUGAUGUUCACCAUUGAAACUACUCCAUCUCACGUGAUGAUCGGACAUGGUUUAGUUGAUAUGGAUCACGUGAUCACUUAGAGGAUUAGAGGGAUGUCUAUCUAAGUGGGAGUUCUUAAGUAAUAUGAUUAAUUGAACUUUAAUUUAUCAUGAACUUAGUCCUGGCAGUAUUAGCAUAUCUAUGUUGUAGAUCAAUAGCUCGCGUUUAGCUCCCCUGUUUUAUUUUUUGAUAUGUUCCUAGAGAAAACUAUGUUGAAAAAUGUUAGUAGCAAUGAUGCGGACUUGGUCCGUGAUCUGAGGAUUAUCCUCAUUGCUGCACAGAAGAAUUAUGUCCUUGAUGCACCUCUAGGUGACAGACCUAUUGCAGGAGCAGAUGCAGACGUUAUGAACGUUUGACAAAAGCUCGGUAUGAUGACUACUUGAUAGUUUAGUGCACCAUGCUCUACGGCUUAGAACCGGGACUUCAAAAAUGUUUUGAAAUGCCACGGAGCAUAUAAGAUGUUCCAAGAGUUGAAAUUGGUAUUUCAUACUCAUGCCCGUGUCGAGAGGUAUUUGACUUCUGACAGUACUUUGCCUACAAGAUGGAGGAGAAUUGCUCAGCUAGUGAGCAUGUGCUCAGAAUGUCUGAGUACUACAAUCACUUGAAUCAAGUGGGAGUUAAUCUUCCAGAUAAGAUAGUGAUUGACAGAGUUCUCUAGUCACUAUCACCAAGUUACUAGAACUUCGUGAUGAACUAUAAUAUGCAAGGGAUAACGGAAACGAUUCCCAAGCUCUUCGUGAUGCUGAAAUCGACAAAGGUAGAAAUCAAGAAAAGCAUCAAGUGUUGAUGGUUGACAAGACCACUAGUUUCAAGAAAAGGGCAAAGGGAAGAAGGGGAACUUCAAAGAAGAACGGCAAGCAAGUUGCUGCUCAAGUGAAGAAACCCAAGUCUGGAACUAAGCCUGAGACUAAGUGCUUCUACUGCAAAGGGACUGGUCACUGGAAGCGGAACUGCCCCAAGUAUUUGGCGGAUAAGAAGGAUGGCAAAGUGAACAAAGGUAUAUUUGAUAUACAUGUUAUUGAUGUGUACUUUACUAGUGUUUAUAGCAACCCCUCAGUAUUUGAUACUAGUUCAAUUGCUAAGAUUAGUAACUUGAAACGGGAGUUGCAGAAUAAACAGAGACUAGUUAAGGGUGAAGUGACGAUGUGUGUUGGAAGUGGUUCCAAGAUUGAUAUGAUCAUCAUCGCACACUCCCUAUACUUUCGGGAUUAGUGUUGAACCUAAAUAAGUGUUAUUUGGUGUUUGCGUUGAGCAUGAAUAUGAUUUGAUCAUGUUUAUUGCAAUACGAUUAUUCAUUUAAGUUAGAGAACAAUUGUUGUUCUGUUUACAUGAAUAAAACCUUCUAUGGUCAUACACACCAACGAAAAUGGUUUGUUGGAUCUCGAUCGUAGUGAUACACAUAUUCAUAAUAUUGAAGCCAAAAGAUGCAAAGUUAAUAAUGAUAGUGCAAUUUAUUUAUGGCACUGCCGUUUAGGCCAUAUUGGUGUAAAGCGCAUAAAGAAACUCCAUGCUGACGGGUUUUUGGAAUCACUUGAUUAUGAAUCACUUGAUGCUUGCGAACCAUGCCUCAUGGGCAAGAUGACUAAGACUCCGUUCUCCGGAACAAUGGAGCGAGCAACAGAUUUGUUGGAAAUCAUACAUACUGAUGUAUGUGGUCCAAUGAAUAUUGAGGCUCGCGGCAAGUAUCGUUAUUUUUCAGACCUUCACAGAUGUUUUGAGCAGAUAUGGGUAUAUCUACUUGAUGAAACAUAAAGUCUGAAACAUUUGAAAAGUUCAUAUAAUUUCAGAGUGAAGUGGAAAAUCAUCGUAACAAGAAAAUAAAGUUUCUACGAUCUGAUCGUGGAGGAGAAUAUUUGAGUUACGAGUUUGGUCUUCAUUUGAAACAAUGCGGAAUAGAUUCGCAACUCAUGCCAUCUGGAACACCACAGCGUAAUGGUGUGUGUCCGAACGUCAUAACCGUACUUUAUUGGAUAUAGUGCAAUCUAUGAUGUUUCUUACUGAUUUACCACUAUAGUUUUGGGGUUAUGCAUGAGAGACAGCUGCAUCCGCGUUAAAAAGGGCACCAUCUAAAUCCGUUGAGACGACACCGUAUGAACUGUGGUUUGGCUAGAAACCAAAGUUGUCGUUUCUUAAAGUUUGGGGUUUUGAUGCUUAUAAGAAAAAGUUUCAUCCUGAUAAGCUAAAACCCAAAUCAGAGAAAUGUGUCUUCAUUGGAUACCCAAAGAAGACAGUUGGGUACACCUUCUAUCACAGAUCUGAAGGCAAGAUAUUCGUUGCUAAGAAUGGAUCCUUUCUAGAGAAGGAGUUUCUCUCGAAAGAAGUGAGUGGGAGGAAAGUAGAACUUGAUGAGGUAACUGUACCUGCUCCCUUAUUGGAAAAUAGUUCAUCACAGAAAUCUGUUCCUGUGACUACUACACCAACUAGUGAGGAAGCUAAUGAUGAUGAUCAUGUAACUUCAGAUCAAGUUACUACCGAACCUCGUAGGUAAACCAGAGUGAGAUCCGCACCAGAGUGGUACUGUAAUCCUGUUCUGGAGGUCAUGUUACUUGACCAUGACGAACCUACGAACUAUGAGGAAGCGAUGAUGAGCCCAGAUUCCGCAAAAAUGGCUUGAGGCCAUGAAAUCUGAGAUGGGAUCCAUGUAUGAGAACAAAGUGUGGACUUUGGUUGACUUGCCCGAUGAUUGGCAAGGCAUAGAAAAUAAAUGGAUCUUCAAGAACAAGACGGACGCUGAUAGUAGUAUUACUAUCUACAAAGCUAGACUUGUCGAAAAAAGGUUUUUGACAAAGUUCAAGGUGUUGACUACGAUGAGAUUUUCUCAGUCGUAGCAAUGCUUGAGUCUGUCCGAAUCAUGUUAGCAAAUUGCCAAAUUUUAUGAAAUCUGGCAAAUGGAUGUCAAAACUACGUUCCUUAAUGGAUUUCUAAAAUAAGAGUUGUAUAUGAUGCAACCAGAAGGUUUUGUCGAUCCUAAAGGUGCUAACAAAAUGUGCAAGCUCCAGCGAUCCAUCUAUGGACUGGUGCAAACAUCUCGGAGUUGGAAUAUACGCUUUGAUGAGUUGAUCAAAGCAUAUAGUUUUAUACAGACUUGCGGUGAAGCCUGUAUUUACAAGAAAGUGAGUGGGAGCACUACAGCAUUUCUGAUAAGUAUAUGUGAAUGACAUAUUGUUGAUCAGAAAUAAUGUAGAAUUAUUCUGCAAAGCAUAAAGGAAUGUUUGAAAGGAGUUUUUCAAAGAAAGUCCUCGGUGAAGCUGCUUACAUAUUGAGCAUCAAGAUCUAUAGAGAUAGAUCAAGACACUUGAUAAGUUUUUUUUUCAAUGAGUACAUACCUUGACAAGAUUUUGAAAUAGUUCAAAAUGGAACAGUCGGAGAAAGAGUUCUUGCCUGUGUUACAAUGUGUGAAAUUGAGUAAGACUCAAAGCCCGACCACGACAGAAGAUAUAAAGAGAAUGAAAGUCAUUCCCUAUGCCUCAGCCAUAGGUUCUAUAAAGUAUGCCAUGCUAUGUACCAGAUCUAUUGUAUACCCUGCACUGAUUUUGGCAAGGGAGUACAAUAGUGAUCUAGGAGUAGAUCACUAGACAGCGGUCAAAAUUAUCCUUAGUGGAAUAAGGAUAUGUUUCUCGAUUAUGGAGGUGACAAAAGGUUUGUCGUAAAAGGGUUACGUCGAUACAAGUUUUCGCACAGAUCCAGAUGACACUAAGUCUUCAUCUGGAUACAUAUUGAAAGUGGAAGCAAUUAGCUAAAUUAGCUCCAUACAGAGCAUUGUAGACACAGAAAUUUGCAAAAUACAUACGGAUCUGAAUAUGGCAGACCCGUUGACUAAACUUCUCUCACAAGCAAAAUAGGAUCACACAUUAGUACUCUUUGGGUGUUAAUCACAUAGCGAUGUGAACUAGAUUAUUGACUCUAGUAAACCCUUUGGGUGUUGGUCACAUGACGAUGUGAACUAUGGGUGUUAAUCACAUGGUGAUGUGAACUAUUGAUGUUAAAUCACAUGGCGAUGUGAUCUAGAUUAUUGACUCUAGUGCAAGUGAGAGACUGAAGGAAAUAUGCCCUAGAGGCAAUAAUAAAGUUAUUACUUAUUUCCUUAUUUUAUGAUAAAUGUUUAUUAUUCAUGCUAGAAUUGUAUUAACCGGAAACAUAAUACUUGUGUGAAUACAUAGACAAACAGAGUGUCACUAGUAUGCCUCUACUUGACUAGCUCGUUGAUCAAAGAUGGUUAUGUUUCCUAGCCAUAGACAUGAGUUGUCAUUUGAUUAAUGGGAUCACAUCAUUAGGAGAAUGAUGUGAUUGACUUGACCCAUUCCGUUAGCUUAGCACUUGAUUGUUUAGUAUUCUGCUAUUGCUUUCUUCAUGACUUAUACAUGUUCCUAUGACUAUGAGAUUAUGCAACUCCCGUUUACCGGAGGAACACUUUGUGUGCUACCAAACGUCACAACGUAACUGGGUGAUUAUAAAGGUAUGCUCUACAGGUGUCUCUGAAGGUACUUGUUGGGUUGGUGUAUUUCGAGAUUAGGAUUUGUCACUCCGAUUGUCGGAGAGGUAUCUCUGGGCCCACUCAGUAAUGCACAUCACUAUAAGCCUUGCAAGCAUUGUAACUAAUGAGUUAGUUGCGGAAUGAUGUAUUACGGAACGAGUAAAGAGACUUGCCGGUAACGAGAUUGAACUAGGUAUUGAGAUAUCGACGAUCGAAUCUCGGGCAAGUAACAUACCGAUGACAAAGGGAACAACAUAUGUUGUUAUGCGGUUUGACCGAUAAAGAUCUUCGUAGAAUAUGUGGGAGCCAAUAUGAGCAUCCAGGUUCCGCUAUUGGUUAUUGACUGGAGACGUGUCUCGGUCAUGUCUACAUAGUUCUCGAACUAGUAGGGUCUGCACGCUUAAAGUUAGAUGAUGGUUAUAUUAUGAGUUUAUGUGUUUUGAUGUACCGAAGGAGUUCGGAGUCCCGGAUGAGAUCAGUGACAUGACGAGGAGUCUCAAAGUGGUCGAGACGUAAAGAUCGAUAUAUUGGACGACUAUAUUCGGACAUCGGAAAGGUUCCGAGUGAUUCAGGUAUUUUUCGGAGUACCGGAGAGUUACGGGAAUUCGUAUUGGGCCUUAAUGGGCCAUACGGGGAAGGAGAGAAAGGCCCCAAAGGGUGGCCACACCCCUCCCCAUGGACUAGUCCGAAUUGGACUAGGGAGGGGGGGCGCCCCUUCCUUCCUUCUCCUUCUCCCUUCCCUUCUCAUACUCCAACAAGGAAAGGAGGAGUCCUACUCUCGGUGGGAGUAGGACUCCCCCCUUGGCGCGCCCUCCUCCUAGGCCGGCCGCCUCCCCCCUUGCUUCUUUAUAUACGGGGGCAGGGGGGCACCCCAAAGACACAACAGUUGAUCUAUUGAUAUCUUAGCCGUGUGCGGUGCCCCCCUCCACCAUAAUCCACCUUGAUAAUAUCGUAGCGGUGCUUAGGCGAAGCCCUGCGUCGGUAGAACAUCAUCAUCGUCACCAUGCUGUCGUGCUGACGGAACUCUCCCUCAAAUCUCGGCUGGAUCGGAGUUCGAGGGACGUCAUCGAGCUGAACGUGUGCUGAACUCGGAGGUGUCGUACGUUCGGUACUUGGAUCAGUCGGAUCGUGAAGACGUACGACUACAUCAACCGCGUUGUGCUAAUGCUUCCGCUUUCGGUCUACGAGGGUACAUGGACAACACUCUCCCCUCUCAUUGCUAUGCAUCACCAUGAUCUUGCGUGUGCGUAGAAUUUUUUUGAAAUUACUACGUUCCCCAACAUCUACAUCAUUUCCGAUCAACAAUAUGUCAUUCACAUAUACUUAUCAGAAAGACUGUAGUGUUCCCACUCACUUUCUUGUAAAUACAGGCUUCACCGCAAGUCUGUAUAAAACUAUAUGCUUUGAUCAACUUAUCAAAGCAUAUAUUCCAACUCCAAGAUUCUUGCACCAGUCCAUAGAUGGAUCGCUGGAGCUUGCACAUUUUGUUAGCACCUUUAGGAUUGAGAAAACCUUCUGGUUGCAUCAUAUACAACCCUUCUUUAAGAAAUCCAUUAAGGAAUGCAGUUUUGACAUCCAUUUGCCAAAUUUCAUAAUCAUAAAAUGCGACAAUUGCUAACAUGAUUCGGAUAGACUUAAGCAUCGCUACGGGUGAGAAGGUCUCAUCGUAGUCAACUCCUUGAACUUGUCAAAAACCUUUCGCAACAAGUCGAGCUUUGUAGAUAGUAACAUUACCGUCAGUGUCAGUCUUCUUCUUGAAGAUCCAUUUAUUCUCUAUGGCUUGCCUAUCAUCGGGUAAGUCAAACAAAGUCCACACUUUGUUCUCAUACAUGGAUCCCAUCUCAGAUUUCAUGGCCUCAAGCCAUUUCGCGGAAUCUGGGCUCAUCAUCGCUUCCUCAUAGUUCGUAGGUUCGUCAUGGUCAAGUAACAUGACGUCCAGAAUAGGAUUACUGUACCACUCUGGUGCGGAUCUUACUCUGGUUGACCUACGAGGUUCGGUAGUAACUUGAUCUGAAGUUUCAUGAUCAUCAUCAUUAGCUUCCUCACUAAUUGGUGUAGGAAUCACUGGAACUGAUUUCUGUGAUGAACUACUUUCCAAUAAGGGAGCAGGUACAAUUACCUCAUCAAGUUAUACUUUCCUCCCACUCAGUUCUUUCGAGGGAAACCCCUUCUCUAGAAAGGAUCCACUCUUAGCAACAAAAAUAUUGCCUUCGGAUCUGUGAUAGAAGGUGUACCCAACAGUUUCUUUUGGGUAUCCUAUGAAGACGCACUUCUCCAAUUUGGGUUUGAGCUUAUCAGGCUGAAACUUUUCCACAUAAACAUCGCAACCCCAAACUUUAAGAAACGACAGCUUAGGUUUCUUGCUAAACUAUAGUUUAUACUGUGUAGUCUCAACGGAUUUUAGACGGUGCCCUAUUUAACGUGAAUGCAACUGUCUUUAAUGCAUAACCCCAAAACGAUAGUGGUAAAUCGGUAAGAGACAUCAUAGAUCGCACCAAAUCUAAUAAAGUACGGUUACGACGUUCGGACACACCAUUACGCUGUGGUGUUCCAGGUGGCGUGAGUUGCGAAACUAUUCCACAUUGUUUCAAUUGAAGGCCAGACUUGUAACUCAAAUAUCCGCCUCCGCGAUCAGAUCGUAGAAACUUUAUUUUCUUGUUACGAUGAUUCUCAACUUCACUCUGAAAUUCUUUGAACUUUUCAAAUGCUUCAGACUUGUGUUUCAUUAAGUAGAUAUACCCAUAUCUGCUCAAAUCAUCUGUGAAGGUCAGAAAAUAACGAUACCCGCCACGAGCCUCAAAACUCAUCGGACCGCAUACAUCGGUAUGUAUUAUUUCCAAUAAGUCAGUGGCUCGUUCCAUUGUUCCGGAGAACGGAGUCUUAGUCAUCUUGCCCAUGAGGCAUGGUUCGCAAGCAUCAAGUGAUUCAUAAUCAAGUGAUUCCAAAAGCCCACCAGCAUGGAGUUUCUUCAUGCGCUUUACACCAAUAUGACCUAAAUGGUAGUGCCACAUAUAAGUUGCACUAUCAUUAUUAACUUUGCAUCUUUUGGCUUCAAUAUUAUGAAUAUGUGUAUCACUACGAUCGAGAUUCAAUAAACCAUUUAUAUUGAGUGUAUGACCAUAGAAGGUUUUAUUCAUGUAAAUAGAACAACAAUUAUUCUUUGACUUAAAUGAAUAAACGUAUUGCAAUAAACAUGAUCCAAUCAUAUUCAUGCUCAACGCAAACACCAAAUAACAUUUAUUUUAGGUUCAACACUAAUCCCGAAGUUAAAGGGAGUGUGCGAUGGUGAUCUUAUCAACCUUGGAAUCACUUCCAACUCACAUCAUCACCUCGCCCUUAACUAUUCUCUGUUUAUUUUGCAACUCCUGUUUUGAGUUACUACUCUUAGCAACUGAACCAGUAUCAAAUACUGAGGGGUUGCUAUAAACACUAGUAAAGUACACAUCAAUAACAUGUAUAUCAAAUAUACCUUUGUUCACUUUGCCAUCCUUCUUAUCCGCCAAGUAUCUAGGGCAGUUCCACUUCCAGUGACCAUUUCCUUUGCAGUAGAAGCACUUAGUUUUAGGCUUGGGUCUAUCUUUGGGCUUCUUCAUGAGAGUGACAACUUGCUUGCCAUUCUUCUUGAAGUUCCCUUUCUUUCCCUUGCCCUUUUACUUGAAACUAGUGGUCUUGUCAACCAUCAACACUUGAUGCUUUUCUUGAUUUCUACCUUCGCUGAUUUCAGCAUCGCGAAGAGCUCGGGAACCGUUUUCAUCAUCCCUUGCAUAUUAUAGUUCAUCACGAAGUUCUAGUAACUUGGUGAUAGUGACUAGAGAAUUUUAUCAAUCACUAUCUUAUGUGGAAGAUUAACUCCCACUUGAUUCAAGCGAUUGUAGUACUCAGACAUUCUGAGCACAUGCUCACUUGUUGAGCUAUUCUCCUCCAUUUUGUAGGCAAAGUACUUGUCAGAGGUCUCAUACCUCUCGACUCGGGCAUGAGUCUGAAAUACCAAUUUCAACUCAUGGAACAUCUUAUAUGCUCCGUGGCAUUCAAAAUGUUUUUGAAGUCCCGGUUCUAAGCCGUAAAGUAUGGUGCACUAAACUAUCAAGUAGUCAUCAUACCGAGCUUGUCAACGUUCAUAAUGUCUGCAUCUGCUCCUGCAAUAGGUCUGUCACCUAGCGGUGCAUCAAGGACAUAAUUCUUCUGUGCAGCAAUGAGGAUAAUUCUCAGAUCACGGACCAAGUCUGCAUCAUUCCUACUAUCAUCUUUCAACUUAUUUUUCUCUAGGAACAUAUCAAAAAUAAAUGGGGAACUACAUCGCAAGCUAUUGAUCUACAACAUAAUUUGCAAAUACUAUCAGGACUAAGUUCAUGAUAAAUUUAAGUUCAAUUAGUCAUAUUACUUAAGAACUCCCACUUAGAUAGACAUCCCUCGAGUCAUCUAAAUGAUCACGUGAUCCAUAUCAACUAAACCAUGUCCGAUCAUCACGUGAGAUGGAGCAGUUUUCAAUGGUGAACAUCACUAUGUUGAUCAUAUCUACUAUAUGAUUCACGCUCGACCUUUCGGCCUCAGUGUUUCGAGGCCAUAUCUGCAUAUGCUAGGCUCGUCAAGUUUAACCGAGUAUUCUGCGUGUGCAAAACUGGCUUGCACCUAUUGUAUGUGAACGUAGAGCUUAUCACACCCGAUCAUCAUGUGGUGUCUCAGCACGAAGAACUGUUGCAACGGUGCAUACUCAGGGAGAACACUUAUACCUUGAAAUUUAGUGAGAGAUCAUCUUAUAAUGCUACCGCCGUACUAAGCAAAAUAAGAUGCAUAAAAGAUAAACAUCACAUGCAAUCAAAAUAAGUGAUAUGAUAUGGCCAUCAUCAUCUUGUGCCUUUGAUCUCCAUCUCCAAAGCACCGUCAUGAUCACCAUCGUCACCGGCUUGACACCUUGAUCUCCAUCGAAGCAUCGUUGUCGUCUCGCCAACUAUUGCUUCUACGACUAUCGCUACCGCUUAGUGAUAAAGUAAAGCAAUUACAUGGCGAUUGCAUUUCAUACAAUACAACGACAACCAUAUGGCUCCUGCCAGUUGCCGUUAACUGUUACAAAACAUGAUCAUCUCAUACAACAAAUUAUAUAUAAUCACGUCUUGACCAUAUCACAUCACAGCAAGCCCUGCAAAAACAAGUUAGAUGUCCUCUACUUUGUUGUUGCAAGUUUUAUGUGGCUGCUAUGGGCUUCUAGCAAGAACCGUUCUUACCUACGCAUCAAAACCACAAUGAUUUUUGUCAAGUGUGUUGUUUUAACCUUCAACAAGGACCAGGCGUAGUCAAACUCGAUUCAACUAAAUUUGGAGAAAUAGACACCCACUAGCCACCUGUGUGCGAAGCACGGCGGUAGAACCAGUCUCAUGAACGCGGUCGUGUAAUGUCGGUCUGGGCCGCUUCAUCCAACAAUACCGCCGAAUCAAAGUAUGACAUGCUGGUAAGCAGUAUGACUAUUAUCGCCCACAACUCUUUGUGUUCUACUCGUGCAUAUAACAUCUACGCAUAGACCUGGCUCGGAUGCCACUGUUGGGGAACAUAGUAUUUCAAAACAAUUCCUACGAUCACGCAAGAUCUAUCUAGGAGAAGCAUAGCAACGAGCCGGGAGAGUGUUGUUGGAAAUAUGCCCUAGAGGCAAUAAUAAAUGGUUAUUAUUAUAUUUCUUUGUUCAUGGUAAUUGUCUAUUGUUCAUGCUAUAAUUGUAUUGUCCGGAAAUCGUAAUACAUGUGUGAAUACAUAGACUACAAUGUGUCCCUAGUAAGCCUCUAGUUGACUAGCUCGUUGAUCAAUAGAUAGUCAUGGUUUCCUGACUAUGGACAUUGGAUGUCAUUGAUAACGGGAUCACAUCAUUAGGAGAAUGAUGUGAUGGACAAGACCUAAUCCUAAGCAUAGCAUAAAAGAUCGUGUAGUUUCGUUUGCUAGAGCUUUUCCAAUGUCAAGUAUCUUUUCCUUAGACCAUGAGAUCAUGCAACUCCCGGAUACCGUAGGAGUGCUUUGGGUGUGCCAAACGUCACAACGUAACUGGGUGACUAUAAAGGUGCACUACGGGUAUCUCCGAAAGUGUCUGUUGGGUUGGCGCGGAUCGAAACUGGGAUUUGUCACUCCGUGUGACGGAGAGGUAUAUCUGGGCCCACUCGGUAAUGCAUCAUCAUAAUGAGCUCUAUGUGACUAAGGCGUUAGUCACGGGAUCAUGCAUUGCGGUACGAGUAAAGAGACUUGCCGGUAACGAGAUUGAACAAGGUAUUGGGAUACCGACGAUCGAAUCUCGGGCAAGUAACAUAUCGAUUGACAAAGGGAAUUGCAUACGGGAUUGAUUGAAUCCUCGACACCGUGGUUCAUCCGAUGAGAUCAUUGUGGAACAUGUGGGAGCCAACAUGGGUAUCCAGAUCCCGCUGUUGGUUAUUGACCGGAGAGGCGUCUCGGUCAUGUCUGCAUGUCUCCCGAACCCGUAGGGUCUACACACUUAAGGUUCGGUGACGCUAGGGUUGUAGAGAUAUGUGUAUGCGGAAACCCGAAAGUUGUUCGGAGUCCCGGAUGAGAUCCCGGACGUCACGAGAGGUUCCAGAAUGGCCCGGAGGUGAAGAAUUAUAUAUAGGAAGUCAAGUUUCGGCCACCGGGAAAGUUUCGGGGGUUACCGGUAUUGUACCGGGACCACCGGAAGGGUCCCGGGGGUCCACCGGGUGGGGCCACCUAUCCCGGAGGGCCCCGUGGGCUGAUGUGGGAAGGGAACCAGCCCCUAGUGGGCUGGGCGCCCCCCCAUGGGCCUCCCCCCAUGCGCCUAGGGUUGGGAACCCUAGGGUGGGGGGGCUUCCCACUUGCCUUGGGGGGCAAGGCAACCCCCUUUGCCGCCGCCCCACCCUAGAUGGGAUCCCUAGCCGGCGCCCCCCCUCCCAGGGGGCCUAUAUAAAGGGGGGGGGAGGGAGGGCAGUAGGAGAACAGCCUUGGGCGCCUCCCUCCUCCCCUGCAACACCUCUCUCUCUCUCUCGUAUAAGCUCGGCGAAGCCCUGCCGGCAUCCUGCUACAUCCACCACCACGCCGUCGUGCUGCUGGAUCUCCAUCAACCUCUCCUUCCCCCUUGCUGGAUCAAGAAGGAGGAGACGUCACUGCACCGUACGUGUGUUGAACGCGGAGGUGCCGUCCGUUUGGCACUCGGUCAUCGGUGAUUUGGAUCACGGCGAGUACGACUCCAUCAUCCACGUUCAUUGGAACGCUUCCGCUCGCGAUCUACAAGGGUAUGUAGAUGCACUCCUUUCCCCUCGUUGCUAGUAGACUCCAUAGAUGCAUCUUGGUGAGCGUAGGAAAAUUUUAAAAUUAUGCUACGAUUCCCAACAGUGGUUUCAGAGCCAGGCCUAUGCGCAGUUACUAUGCAUGAGUAGAACACAAAGCAGUUGUGGGCGUUGAGUUUGCCAAUUCUUCUUGCCGCUACUAGUCUUUUCUUGUUUCGGCGGCGUUGUAGGAUGAAGCGGCCCGGACCGACCUUACACAUACGCUUACGUGAGACAGGUUGCACCGACUGACAUGCACUAGUUGCAUAAGGUGGCUAGCGUGUGUCUGUCUCUCCUACUUUAGUCGGAACAGAUUCGAUGAAAAGGGUCCUUAUGAAGGGUAAAUAGAAAUUGGCAAAUCACGUUGUGGUCAUACGUAGGUAAGAAAACGUUCUUGCUAGAAACCUUCAAACCACGUAAAAACUUGCAACAACAAUUAGAGGACGUCUAACUUGUUUUUGCAGCAAGUGCUAUGUGAUGUGAUAUGGCCAGAAGAUGUGAUGAAUGAUAUAUGUGAUGUAUGAGAUUGAUCAUAUUCUUGUAAUAGGAAUCACGACUUGCAUGUCGAUGAGUAUGACAACCGGCAGGAGCCAUAGGAGUUGUCUUUAUUAUUUUGUAUGACCUGCGUGUCAUUGAAUAACGCCAUGUAAAUUACUUUACUUUGUUGCUAAACGCGUUAGCCAUAGAAGUAGAAGUAAUCGUUGGCGUGACGACUUCAUGAAGACACAAUGAUGGAGAUCAUGGUGUCAUGCCGGUGACAAAGAUGAUCAUGGUGCCCCGAAGAUGGAGAUCAAAGGAGCAUAAUGAUAUUGGCCAUAUCAUGUCACUAUUUGAUUGCAUGUGAUGUUUAUCAUGUUUUUGCAUCUUAUUUGCUUAGAACGACGGUAGUAAGUAAGAUGAUCCCUUAUAAUAAUUUCAAGAAAGUGUUCACCCUAACUGUGCACCGUUGCGAAGGUUCGUUGUUUCGAAGCACCACGUGAUGAUCGGGUGUGAUAGAUUCUAACGUUCGAAUACAACGGGUGUUGACGAGCCUAGCAUGUACAGACAUGGCCUCGGAACACAUGCAAUACACUUAGGUUGACUUGACGAGCCUAGCAUGUACAGACAUGGCCUCGGAACACGGAGGACCGAAAGGUCGAGCAUGAGUCGUAUAGAAGAUACGAUCAACAUGGAGAUGUUCACCGAUCUUGACUAGUCCGUCUCACGUGAUGAUCGGACACGGCCUAGUUAAAUUCGGAUCAUGUAUCACUUAGAUGACUAGAGGGAUGUCUAUCUGAGUGGGAGUUCAUUAAAUAAUUUGAUUAGAUGAACUUAAUUAUCAUGAACUUAGUCUAAAAUCUUUACACUAUGUCUUGUAGAUCAAAUGGCCAAUGUUGUCCUCAAUUUCAACGCGUUCCUAGAGAAAACCAAGCUGAAAGAUGAUGGCAGCAACUAUACGGACUGGGUCCGGAACCUGAGGAUCAUCCUCAUAGUAGCCAAGAAAGAUUAUGUCCUAGAAGCACCGCUAGGUGAAGCACCAAUCCCACAAAACCAAGACGUUAGGAACGCUUGGCAGCAGCGUGCUGAAGAUUACUCCCUCGUUCAGUGCGGCAUGCUUUACAGCCUAGAACCGGGUCUCCAAAAGCGUUUUGAGAAACAUGGAGCAUAUGAGAUGUUCGAGGAGCUGAAAUUGGUUUUCCAAGCUCAUGCCCGGGUCGAGAGAUAUGAUGUCUCCGACAAGUUCUUCAGCUGUAAAAUGGAGGAGAACAGUUCUAUUAGUGAGCACAUACUCAGAAUGUUUGGGUUGCAUAACUGCUUGUCUCAGCUGGGAGUUAAUCUCCCGGAUGACGCGGUCAUUAACAGAAUCCUCCAGUCGCUUCCACCAAGCUACAAGAGCUUUGUGAUGAACUUCAAUAUGCAGGGGAUGGAAAAGACCAUUCCUGAGGUAUAUUCAAUGCUGAAAUCAGCUGAGGUAGAGAUCAGAAAAGAACAUCAAGUGUUGAUGGUGAAUAAAACCACUAAGUUCAAGAAGGGCAAGGGUAAGAAGAACUUCAAGAAGGACGGCAAGGGAGUUGCCGCGCCCGGUAAACCAGUUACUGGGAAGAAGUCAAAGAAUGGACCCAAGCCCGAGACUGAGUGCUUUUAUUGCAAGGGAAGUGGUCACUGGAAGCGGAACUGCCCCAAAUACUUAGCGGACAAGAAGAAGGCCGGCAACACCAAAGGUAUAUGUGAUAUACAUGUAAUUGAUGUGUACCUUACCAGUACUCGUAGUAGCUCUUGGGUAUUUGAUACCGGUGCGGUUGCUCAUAUUUGUAACUCAAAACAGGAACUACGGAAUAAACGGAGACUGGCAAAGGACGAGGUGACAAUGCGCGUCGGGAAUGGUUCCAAGGUCGAUGUGAUCGUCGUCGGCACGCUACCUCUGCAUCUCCCUACGGGAUUAGUUUUAAACCUCAAUAAUUGUUAUUUAGUGCCAGCUCUGAGCAUGAACAUUGUAUCUGGAUCUCGUUUAAUUCGAGAUGGCUACUCAUUUAAAUCCGAGAAUAAUGGUUGUUCUAUUUAUUUGAGAGAUAUGUUUUAUGGUCAUGCCCCGCUGGUCAAUGGUUUAUUCUUGAUGAAUCUCGAAUGUGAUGUUACACAUGUUCAUAGCGUGAAUACCAAAAGAUGUAAAGUUGAUAACGAUAGUCCCACAUAUCUGUGGCACUGCCGCCUUGGUCACAUUGGUGUCAAGCGCAUGAAGAAGCUCCAUGCAUAUGGACUUUUGGAGUCUCUUGAUUACGAAUCAUUUGACACGUGCGAACCAUGCCUCAUGGGUAAGAUGACCAAGACUCCGUUCUCCGGAACAAUGGAGCGAGCAACCAACUUAUUGGAAAUCAUACAUACCGAUGUGUGCGGUCCAAUGAGUGUUGAGGCUCGCGGAGGAUAUCGUUAUGUUCUCACUCUCACUGAUGAUUUAAGUAGAUAUGGUAUGUCUACCUAAUGAAACACAAGUCUGAAACCUUUGAAAAGUUCAAGGAAUUUCAGAGUGAGGUCGAGAAUCAACGUGACAGGAGAAUAAAAUUCUUACGAUCAGAUCGUGGUGGAGAAUAUUUAAGUCACGAGUUUGGUGCACACUUAAGGAAAUGUGGAAUAGUUUCACAACUCACGCCGCCUGGAACACCUCAGAGAAACGGUGUGUCCGAACGUCGUAAUCGCACUCUAUUGGAUAUGGUGCGAUCUAUGAUGUCUCUUACCGAUUUACCGCUCUCAUUUUGGGGCUAUGCUUUAGAGACUGCCGCAUUCACUUUAAAUAGGGCUCCGUCGAAAUCCGUUGAGACGACACCGUAUGAAUUAUGGUUUGGGAAGAAACCUAAGCUGUCGUUUCUAAAAGUUUGGGGAUGCGAUGCUUAUGUCAAGAAACUUCAAUCUGAAAAGCUCGAACCCAAGUCGGAAAAAUGCGUCUUCAUAGGAUACCCUAAGGAAACUAUUGGGUAUACCUUCUACCUCAGAUCCGAAGGCAAGAUCUUCGUUGCCAAGAACGGGUCCUUUCUGGAGAAGGAGUUUCUCUCGAAAGAAUUGAGUGGGAGGAAAGUGGAACUUGAUGAGGUGAUAGUCACCCCUUCCGUACCGGAAAGUAGCGCAGCGCGGGAAGAUGUUCCUGUGGUGCCUACACCGACUGGGGAGGAAGUUAAUGAUGAUGAUCAUGAAGCUUCGGAUCAAGUUACUGAACUUCGUAGGUCCACGAGGACACGUUCCGCACCAGAGUGGUACGGCAACCCUGUCCUGGAAAUCAUGUUGUUAGACAACGGUGAACCUUCUAACUAUGAAGAAGCGAUGGCGGGCCCGGAUUCUGACAAAUGGCUAGAAGCCAUGAAAUCCGAGAUAGGAUCCAUGUAUGAAAACGAAGUAUGGACUUUGACUGACUUGCUCGAUGAUCGGCGAGCCAUAGAAAACAAAUGGAUCUUUAAGAAGAAGACGGACGCGGAUGGUAAUGUGACCAUCUACAAAGCUCGACUUGUCGCUAAGGUUUAUCGACAAGUUCAAGGGGUUGACUACGAUGAGACUUUCUCACCGGUAGCGAAGCUGAAGUCCGUCUGAAUCAUGUUAGCAAUUGCCGCAUACUAUGAUUAUGAGAUAUGGCAGAUGGACGUCAAAACGGCAUUCCUUAACGGCUUCCUUAAGGAAGAGUUGUAUAUGAUGCAGCCGGAAGGUUUUGUCGAUCCUAAGAAUGCUAACAAAGUAUGCAAGCUCCAGCUCUCAAUCUAUGGGCUGGUGCAAGCAUCUCGGAGUUGGAACAUUCGCUUUGAUGAGAUGAUCAAAGCGUUUGGGUUUACACAGACUUAUGGAGAAGCCUGUGUUUACAAGAAAGUGAGUGGGAGCUCUAUAGCAUUUCUCAUAUUAUAUGUGGAUGACAUACUAUUGAUGGGAAAUGAUAUAGAAUUCUUGGAAAGUAUUAAGGCCUAUUUGAAUAAGUGUUUUUCAAUGAAGGACCUUGGAGAAGCUGCUUAUAUAUUAGGCAUCAAGAUCUAUAGAGAUAGAUCAAGACGCCUCAUUGGUCUUUCAUAGAGUACAUACCUUGACAAGAUAUUGAAGAAGUUCAAUAUGGAUCAAUCCAAGAAGGGGUUCUUGCCUGUAUUGCAAGGUGUGCAGUUGAGCACGGCUCAAUGCCCGACCACGGCAAAAGAUAUAGAAAAGAUGAGUGUCAUCCCCUAUGCCUCGGCCAUAGGGUCUAUUAUGUAUGCCAUGCUGUGUACCAGACCUGAUGUAAACCUUGCCGUAAGUUUGGUAGGAAGGUACCAAAGUAAUCCCGGCAUGGAACACUGGACAGCGGUCAAGAAUAUCCUGAAGUACCUGAAAAGGACUAAGGAUAUGUUUCUCGUUUAUGGAGGUGACGAAGAGCUCGUCGUAAAGGGUUAUGUCGACGCUAGCUUCGACACAGAUCUGGAUGACUCGAAGUCACAGACCGGAUACGUGUAUAUUUUGAAUGGAGGAGCAGUAAGCUGGUGCAGUUGCAAGCAAAGCGUCGUGGCGGGAUCUACAUGUGAAGCGGAGUACAUGGCAGCCUCGGAGGCAGCACAGGAAGCAGUCUGGAUGAAGGAGUUCAUAACCGAUCUAGGGGUGAUUCCCAAUGCGUCGGGCCCGAUGACUCUCUUCUGUGACAACACUGGAGCCAUUGCCCUUGCGAAGGAGCCCAGGUUUCACAGGAAGACCAGGCAUAUCAAGCGUCGCUUCAACUCCAUUCGUGAAAGUGUUCAAAAUGGAGACAUAGAUAUUUGUAAAGUACAUACGGACCUGAAUGUAGCAGAUCCGUUGACUAAACCUCUCCCUAGAGCAAAACAUGAUCAACACCAGGACGCAAUGGGUGUUCUAUUCAUCACAAUGUAACUAGAUUAUUGACUCUAGUGCAAGUGGGAGACUGUUGGAAAUAUGCCCUAGAGGCAAUAAUAAAUGGUUAUUAUUAUAUUUCUUUGUUCAUGGUAAUUGUCUAUUGUUCAUGCUAUAAUUGUAUUGUCCGGAAAUCGUAAUACAUGUGUGAAUACAUAGACUACAACGUGUCCCUAGUAAGCCUCUAGUUGACUAGCUCGUUGAUCAACAGAUAGUCAUGGUUUCCUGACUAUGGACAUUGGAUGUCAUUGAUAACGGGAUCACAUCAUUAGGAGAAUGAUGUGAUGGACAAGACCCAAUCCUAAGCAUAGCAUAAAAGAUCGUGUAGUUUCGUUUGCUAGAGCUUUUCCAAUGUCAAGUAUGUUUUCCUUAGACCAUGAGAUCGUGCAACUCCCGGAUACCGUAGGAGUGCUUUGGGUGUGCCAAACGUCACAACGUAACUGGGUGACUAUAAAGGUGCACUACGGGUAUCUCCGAAAGUGUCUGUUGNNNNNNNNNNNNNNNNNNNNNNNNNNNNNNNNNNNNUUAUUGACCGGAGAGGCGUCUCGGUCAUGUCUGCAUGUCUCCCGAACCCGUAGGGUCUACACACUUAAGGUUCGGUGACGCUAGGGUUGUAGAGAUAUGUGUAUGCGGAAACCCGAAAGUUGUUCGGAGUCCCGGAUGAGAUCCCGGACGUCACGAGAGGUUCCGGAAUGGUCCGGAGGUGAAGAAUUAUAUAUAGGAAGUCAAGUUUCGGCCACCGGGAAAGUUUCGGGGGUUACCGGUAUUGUACCGGGACCACCGGAAGGGUCCCGGGGGUCCACCGGGUGGGGCCACCUAUCCCGGAGGGCCCCGUGGGCUGAAGUGGGAAGGGAACCAGCCCCUAGUGGGCUGGGCGCCCCCCAUGGGCCUCCCCCCAUGCGCCUAGGGUUGGGAACCCUAGGGUGGGGGGGCUUCCCACUUGCCUUGGGGGGCAAGGCAACCCCCAUGGCCGCCGCCCCCACCCUAGAUGGGAUCCCUGGCCGGCGCCCCCCCUCCUAGGGGGCCUAUAUAAAGUGGGGGGGAGGGCAGUAGGAGAACAGCCUUGGGCGCCUCCCUCCUCCCCUGCAACACCUCUCUCUCUCGUAUAAGCUCGGCGAAGCCCUGCCGGCAUCCUGCUACAUCCACCACCACGCCGUCGUGCUGCUGGAUCUCCAUCAACCUCUCCUUCCCCCUUGCUGGAUCAAGAAGGAGGAGACAUCGCUGCACCAUACGUGUGUUGAACACGGAGGUGCCGUCUGUUUGGCACUCGGUCAUCGGUGAUUUGGAUCACGGCGAGUACGACUCCAUCAUCCACGUUCAUUGGAACGCUUCCGCUCGCGAUCUACAAGGGUAUGUAGAUGCACUCCUUUCCCCUCGUUGCUAGUAGACUCCAUAGAUGCAUCUUGGUGAGCGUAGGAAAAUUUUAAAAUUAUGCUACGAUUCCCAACAAGUGUGUCCACGUACCCUCGUAGACCGAAAGCGGAAGUGUUUAGUAAUGCGGUUGAUGUAGUCGAACGUCUUCGCGAUCCAACUGAUCAUGUACCGAACGCAUGGCACCUCCGCGAUCUGCACACGUUCAGCUCGGUGACGUCCCUCGAACUCUUGAUCCACUUGAGGCCGAGGUAGAGUUCCGUCAGCAUGACAGCGUGGUGACGGUGAUGAUGAAGCUACCGGCGCAGGGCUUCGCCUAAGCACUACGACGAUAUGACCGAGGUGUGAAACUGUGGAGGGGGACACCGCACACGGCUAAAAGAUCAACUUGUGUCUAUAGGGUGCCCCCCUCCCCCGUAUAUAAAGGAGGGAGGGAGGAGGCCGGCCGGCCCUAGGGGGCGCGCCCAAGGAGGGGAGUCCUACUAGGACUCCAAGUCCUAGUAGGAUUCCACCAAGAGGGAGAGCUUCCCUUAUCCAAUUCGGACUGCAAGGGGGGCACGGCCUGCCCUGGUUGCCCUUCUCUCUCUCCACUAAGGCCCAUGGUGGCCCAUUAGUUCCCCCGAGGGUCCCGGUAACCCCUCCGGCACUCCGGUUUUACCCGAAACCAUCCGGAACACUUCCGGUGUCCGAAUAACAUGGUCCUAUAUAUCAAUCUUUAUGUCUCGACCAUUUCGAGACUCCUCGUCAUGUCCAUGAUCUCAUCCAGGACUCCGAACAACCUUAGGUACAUCAAAUCACAUAACUCAUAAUACAAAUCGUCAUCGAACGUUAAGCGUGCAGACCCUACGGGUUCGAGAACUAUGUAGACAUGACCGAGACACAUCUCCGGUCAAUAACCAAUAGCGGAACCUAGAUGCUCAUAUUGGCUCCUACAUAUUCUACGAAGAUCUUUAUUGGUCAAACCGCAUAACAACAUACGUUGUUCCCUUUGUCAUCGGUAUGUUACUUGCCCGAGAUUCGAAAGUCGGUACCAUCAUACCUAGUUCAAUCUCGUUACCGGCAAGUCUCUUUACUCGUUCCGUAAUGCAUCAUCCCGCAACUAACUCAUUGGGACAAUUGCAUUUUUACCCCUAGUUGGUUCCUACCCACGGGUUUUGCCCUUACUUUUCGAGCUUGCUCAGUUUUGCCCUUACUUUUUCCGUCGUGGUCCCUUGAAUGCCCUUUGACCGUUUGACCGAAACUUUGAAAAUUCAUAACUAAUUCAUAUGAACUCAGAAAAAUGAAAAUAAGAUAUCAAAAUGUUCAGAUAAACAUUACCUUUAUGUGCAUAUCAUUUGCAUUCAGGACAAAAGCACCCUUUAAACUACCUGAGGUAAUUAAUGUUAUUAACGUUAUUAAAAAUAAAAAGGUAUAAACAAUAUUUUUUUCAUGAAUAAAAAUUACUUGCAAAUGUAGGUGAUGUUUCCUGAACAUCCAGAUAUCUUAUUUGCAUUUUUCUGAGUUCGUAUCAUCUUGUUAAGAAUGUUCUAACGACUUUGACCAUUAUUUGGAAACUUCAUAACAAGUUGAUACAAACUCAGAAAAAUGCAAAUAAGAUAUCAGGAUGUUCAGAAAACAUCACCUACAUUUGCAUGUAAUUUUUAUUCAUGAAAACAUAUUGUUUAUACCUUUUUAUUUUUAAUAAUGUUAAUAACAUUACUUAGCUCAGGUAGUUUAAAGGGUGCUUUUGUCCUGAAUGAAAAUGAUAUGCACAUAAAGGUAAUGUUUAUCUGAACAUUUUGAUAUCUUAUUUGCAUUUUUUUGAGUUCAUAUGAAUUAGUUAUGAAUUUUCAAAGUUUUGGUCAAACGGUCAAAGGGCAUUCGAGGGACCUCGACGGAAAAAGUAAGGGCAAAACUGAGCAGGCUCGAAAAGUAAGGGCAAAACCCGUGGGUAGGAACCAACUAGGGGUAAAAAUGCAAUUGUCCCUAACUCAUUAGUCACAUUGCUUGCAAGGCUUAUAGUGAUGAGCAUUACCGAGAGGGCCCAGAGAUACCUCUCCGAUACACGGAGUGAUAAAUCCUAAUCUCGAUCUAUGCCAACCCAACAAACACCUUUGGAGACACCUUUAGGGCAUCUUUAUAAUCACCUAGUUACGUUGUGACAUUUGAUAGCACACAAGGUGUUCCUCUGGUAUUCGGGAGUUGCAUAAUCUCAUAGUCAGUGGAACAUGUAUAAGUCAUGAUGAAAGCAAUAGCAAUAAAACUAAACGAUCAUUUAUGCUAAGCUAACGGAUGGGUCUUGUCCAUCACAUCAUUCUCCUAAUGAUGUGAUCCCAUUCAUCAAAUGACAACACAUGUCUAUGGUCAGGAAACUUAACCAUCUUUGAUUAACGAGCUAGUCUAGUAGAGGCAUACUAGGGACACUUUGUUUUGUCUAUGUAUUCACACAUGUAUCAAGUUUCUAGUUAAUACAAUUCUAGCAUGAAUAAUAAACAUUUAUCAUGAUAUAAGGAAAUAUAAAUAACAACUUUAUUAUUGCCUCUAGGGCAUAUUUCCUUCACUUAUGAUCUAGGAUUAUUUCUGAUGGUUUCUCUAUUUAUAGGAUUUUUUGGCGUUGGUUUCAAGUCAAAUGCAUCAAGGACGGAGCAGACCAACUCUUGGUGAAGGACGAGGAGAUUAAGCAUAGAUGGCGGGAGUACUUCGACAAGUUGUUCAAUAGGGAGAAUGAGAGUUCUACCAUUGAACUGGAUGACUCCUUUGAUGAGACCAGCAUGCGUUUUGUGCGGCGAAUCCAGGAGUCUGAGGUCAAGGCGGCUUUAAAAAGGAUGAAAGGAGGCAAGGCAAUGGGCCCUGAUUGUAUCCCCAUUGCGGUGUGGAAAGGCCUCGGGGACAUAGCGAUAGUAUGGCUAACCAAGCUUUUCAACCUCAUUUUUCGGGAAAACAAGAUGCCAGAAGAAUGGAGACGGAGUAUAUUAGUACCAAUCUUCAAGAACAAGGGGGAUGUUCAGAGUUGUACUAAUUACCGUGGAAUUAAGCUGAUGAGCCAUACAAUGAAGCUAUGGGAGAGAGUCAUUGAGCACCGCUUAAGAAGAAUGACAAGCGUGACCAAAAAUCAAUUUGGUUUCAUGCCUGGGAGGUCGACCAUGGAAGCCAUUUUCUUGGUACGACAACUUAUGGAGAGAUACAGGGAGCAAAAGAAGGACUUGCAUAUGGUGUUCAUUGACUUGGAGAAGGUCUAUGAUAAGAUACCACGGAAUGUCAUGUGGUGGGCGAGAAACACAAAGUCCCAUUAAGUACAUUACCCUCAUAGUACAUGUACGAUAAUGUUGUGACAAGUGUUCGAACAAGUGAUGUUGUCACUGAUGACUUCCCGAUUAAGAUAGGACUGCAUCAGGGGUCAGCUUUGAGCCCUUAUCUUUGUUGCUUUGGUGAUGGAUGAGGUCACAAGGGAUAUACAAGGAGAUGUCCCAUGGUGUACGCUCUUUGCGGCUGAUGUGGUGUUAGUUGACGAUAGUCGGACGGGGGUAAACAGGAAGUUAGAGUUAUGGAGACAAACCUUGGAAUCAAAAGGGUUUAGGCUUAGUAGAACUAAAACUGAGUACAUGAUGUGCGGUUUCAGUACUACUAGGUGUGAGGAGGAGGAGGUUAGCCUUGAUGGGCAGGUGGUACCUCAGAAGGACACCUUUCGAUAUUUGGGGUCGAUGCUGCAGGAGGAUGGGGGUAUUGAUGAAGAUGUGAACCAUUGAAUCAAAGCCGAAUGGAUGAAGUGGCGCCAAGCUUCUGGCAUUCUCUGUGACAAGAGAGUGCAACAAAAGCUAAAAGGCAAGUUCUACAGGAUGGCGGUUCGACCCGCAAUGUUGUAUGGCGCUGAGUGUUGGCCGCCGACUAAAAGGCGACAUGUUCAAUAGUUAGGUGUGGCGGAGAUGCGUAUGUUGAGCUGGAUGUGUGGCCACACGAGGAAGGAUCAAGUCCAGAAUGAUGAUAUACGAGAUAGAGUUGGGGUAGCACCAAUUGAAGAGAAGCUUGCUGAUACGUCUCCGUCGUAUCUAUAAUUUUUGAUUGUUUCAUGCCAAUAUUAGACAACUUUCACAUACUUUUGGCAACAUUUUGUAUGAUUUAUUUGGACUAACCUAUUGAUCCAGUGCCCGGUGCUAGUUCAUGUUUGUUGCAUGUUUUUUGUUUCACAGAAAAUCCAUAUCAAACGAAGUCCAAAUGCAAUAAAAAUUUAAAGAGAAUUAUUUUGGAAUAUUUAUGAUUUUUGGGAGGUGGAAUCAACGCAAACGGGGGCCCACAGUGACCACAACCCACCAGGGCGCGCUGGGCACCCCCUGGCGCACCCAGGUAUCUUGUGCCCUGCUCGGACGUCGGUUGGGGCCCUUCUUCUGGCGCAAGAAAGAUAAUUUAUGGAAAAAUAUCGCGUAAAAAUUUCAGCGCAAUCGGAGUUACGGAUCUCCGGGAAUUUAAGAAACUGCGAAGGGCCAGAUCUGGAAGAACGCGAAACAGAAGAGAACAGAGAGGGAGAUCCAAUCUUGGAGGGGCUCCUGCCCCUUCGCCACCAUGGAGUCCAUGGACCAGAGGGGGAACCCUCCUCCCAUCUAGGGGGAGGCCAAGGAAGAAGAAGAAGAAGGAGGGGGCUCUCUUCCCCUCUCUCCCGGUGGCGCCGGAACACCGCCGGCGCAAGGAUCGUGACGGCGAUCUACAUCAACAAUCUUUCUACCGUCAACACCAACUCUCUCCCCCUCUAUGGAGCGGUGUAACACCCCUGCUCCCCAUUGUAAUCUCUACUUAAACAUGGUGCUCAAUCCAUAUAUUAUUUCCCAAUGAUAUUUGGCUAUCCUAUGAUAUUUGCGUAGAUCCGUUUUCUCCUAUGGGCUAAUCGUGAUCUUGGUUGGUAUGAUUGUAUAUUUUAUUUUUGGUGUUGUCCUACGGUGCCCUCCGUCUCGCGCAAACGGAGGGAUCCUCGCUGUAGGGUGUUGCAAUAUGUUCAUGAUUCGCUUAUGGUGGGUUGCGAGAGUGACAGAAGCUUAAACCCGAGUAAGUGGGUUGUUGCGUAUGGGAUAAACAGGACUUGAUACUUAAUGCUAUGGUUGGGUUUCACGGCCUUAAUGAUCUUUAGUAGUUGCGGAUGCUUGCUAGGGUUCCAAUCAUAAGUGCAUAUGAUCCAAGUAGAGAAAGUAUGUUAGCUCAUUCCUCUCCCUCAUAUAAAAUUACAAGAAUGAUUACUGGUACUUGUUAUCGAUUGCCUAGGGACAAAUGGCUUUCUUAUUGACAAAAUCUAUCCACUUUUAUUGCCUCGCAAUUUAUUCAUAGUUUUAUUCUCGCAAAGUACUCGUAGUUUUAUUCUUGCAAAAUAGUUUCAUACUUGUUUUAGGUAAAGCAAACGUCAAGUGUGCGUAGAGUUGUAUCGGUGGUCGAUAGGACUUGAGGGAAUAUUUGUUCUGCCUUUAGCUAUUUGUUGGGUUCGACACUCUUCCUUAUCGAAGAAGGCUACAAACGAUCCCAUAUACUUGUGGGUUAUCAAGACUGGCGCCGUUGCCGGGGAGCAAUAGCGUGGGGUGAAUAUUCUCGUGUGUGCUUGUUUGCGUUAUCACUAAGUAGUUUUUAUUUUGUGCUCUUGUUUUCUCUCUUUAGUUAUGGGUAGGAAACGCAAAAUACAAAAAAAAAA
rnacentral:lncRNA from 1 species